rnacentral:lncRNA from 1 species
AUAAAUUGCGGAUAAAUAAAUUACUGGUAUGGACGAUAAACCCGCACCAUACUUUAAAUAAAUUAAAUAGCUUGCUGUAUGGACGUUAAUCCCGCACCAUACUUUAAAUAAAUUAAAUAGCUUGCUGUAUGGACGUUAAUCCCGCACCAUACUUUAAAUAAAUGUAAAUGUGCGGUAAAGUAAACGUGCUUGUGUGGGCACUAAUUCUGCUCCAUACAUUUAAAUACAAGUAAAGGCGUGGACGAUAAACCCGCACCACCCUUUUAAAUAAAUACUGUUGUAUGGGUAAUAAACCUACACCAUACAGUAAAUAAAAUAAAUGUGCGGUAAAGUAAAUUUGCAGUAAAUUAAACGUGCUUGUAUGGGCACUAAUUCUGCUCCAUACAUUUAAAUAAAAUUAAAGGCGUGAGCGAUAAACCCGCACCACCCUUUGAAAUAAAUAUUGUUGUAUGGGUAAUAAACCUACACCAUACAGUAAAUAAAUGUGCGGUAAAGUAAAUUCAUAAAGUAAAUUGUUAGGAUUAGUAACGGUUUCCCACUGAUAAUAUGUUUAGUAUUACCGAGGGUCCAUUUUUGUUAAUGGUUAGUAAAAUAAAAGCAGAUAAAUAUAAUAUGAAAUAAUAGAGAAGAUAAGGGAGCAGAAAACUUAUCGCUUAUGCCCUUGGUGAGUGAUCCCCCUUUUUCUUUUUCUUUUUUCUUUUUUUUAUUUUUUAUUUUUUAUAUUUAUUUAUUUUUAUUUAUUUUUUUUAUUAUAUUUAUUAUUAUUAUUUGCAGAAAACUGUCGGUGGGUCUUUCCUUUCAUCAUUGCUGCUACAAGGAAUGCUGCUUUUUAGGAAAGUGCCCACCCUAUAUCCUACUCUGAAAAGCAUGUCACUUCCAAAAGUACUAUAAAGAAAACAGAGCACACAAUUUGGGACCCAAGACCCGAUUAUGCGCCCAACUUUUCUUAGUGCGUUUUGCUCAUGCUGUCCAUUUCAUCAAAGGGGAUCUUGAUCUCUUCCAAUGAACAACAAACCAAGCUCAGCCACACCACCAUCGUCAAAACCCACAUGGGUCCUGCCCUACAAGACCCAAAACCUCACUGACCUCUACACUUUGGAUAAGAUUUUGAGUGCUCGAGUCCACGACAUGAUCAACACCUCCAGCAUGGGCUACCUCCACGAUCCGAGAAGCCCACAACCACACCGACCUCAUCGUGGUUUCGAUCUACGUGAACCCAGGUCAGUUCUCUCCCUCCGAAGACCUCUCCAUCUACUCAUCUGAUUUCCAUGGCGAUGUCUGCAUCACAGAGAACGGAGAGCUCCUGAAGCUGACCGAUGAGCUGCCUCAGCAUGGCCAGACCUUCCAUGCCCCCCUGAGGCCCUAGCAGCGGCAAUACCGAAACGUCCUGGAGGGAGGUCAAGAGCCUGAGAAUCGUCCGAAGCUGCUCGAGCGCUCGGUGGUCGCCGAGGUCAGAGACGUAGGCUCGGAGGUAGUUGACGGGAGCGCCGGUCAGGAGGCUCUCGAGCUCAAGAAACGCCUCGAGCUCAAGAAACGCCUCGAGCCGUGAGUUCACGUAGUGGAAGCCCGCCGGGUUCAGCUUGAGCACUAGGCUUCCGUCGAUCAAAGAACCGGCUUGUUGCUCCACGAAGUGUACCAGCUUCUCCAGGUACCGAUCUCAGCUUUUCAGGUUUGUGUAUAGGUAACCUUGUUGUUAACAGCGCCUGAGAAAGGCCAGUCAAAAAACAACUCGGUAAUGCUUAGCCAAGUAGGGGACGAUUUUGUCCCACACAGACUGGUCUCCUCCAUACCCAUGAGCUAGAACUAUGGUUUCUUCACUUCCUGAUGAGCCCAUAAUUUUUGUGUUUAUGGCUGAUGAAAGGCUCUUUUCUAGCACCAUUUUUUUUAUUUUUUAUGCAGUGGGCACACAAAGUCAAUUUUGUGCUUGGCUGUGGUUUCUGACUUAGUCUGCAGUGGCUCUGCAGACAAAAGCAUAAGAAUUUCGGAGAGGGCAUGGGUGGCUACAAACUUUUCCAUUUCCAUCAGCUCUGUGAAGGAGUUACAGAGAGAGAGAGAGCGUUGAGGCUCUGGAUUUGGAGAUAGAGAAAUCGUGCUGAUAACGUGUUGUGAAAUCAAAAGAAUUGAGGAGAGAAUUGUUGUUCUCUCUUUUAUUAUCAUUCUCAUAUCUGUUUUCAAUUACAACAAGGAGGAAGCUUCGAGGAAGCUUCAGGUGGGCUCCACCUAAUAUAUUUACAACACAAAUCAGUUGAGUAAGGCCUAAAACUAAUCCUAAAUACUAAAGUUUUUGUUCAGCUAAAGCUAAAUUUUCUAAUUAGAAAUAUAUGCUUCCAAAACAUAAAAAAAAUUGUUGUGUAGUUUUUUAUUUUAUUUAAAAAAAAAUUGUUAUAAAUUGUUAUAAAUUGUUAUAGUUAUAAUGACUUAACGGAAACUUUUAACAAAGUUAAAUGUAGGCGAUAAAUUGUAAUAGUUUAAAAAGUUUAAAUGGUUAAAAAUAAAAAUUAAAAGUUCAGGUGGUGAUUAUGUAAGAGCCAAAUUUUUCAUAUGGUAUUGAUGCAAAUGGAAUGAAAAAAUUAUUGAAAAGUUGGCGGAGUCAUGACUAAAAGAAGUUACAAUUAUCAAAUGCUUAAACAAAAGAAAUCAUAUUUAAGACGAAGAAGAAGAAAUUAGACCAUUUAUUGGUAAACUGAGACCAAAUAUGGACCAAAUUUAUAAGAUUUGUCCAUAAUAUUCUAGUACAUUACCACCAAAUGAGCCCAUUUUACUCUCAAGUUGAGAGGUUUUACAACGUAAUUGUCCAUAAGUUAACAAUCCAUUGGGUGGUAAGGCAAGCCUAGCUACUCAGUGAAUCCAUGUUACCACCAAAUGGAAGCGGCUGGACCAUUUAGAGUUAAACAUGGACCAAAAGGUGGUAAUGUAUGUUAUGCCAAAAUGCAACUAGAUGGAACAAGUUAGGGUGCCUUUCGGGUUGCUGUGCUUAAAAAAUAAGCAGCUACCACAGUAUCCUGAUAGUAGCCCUCUCCCAUAUAUUUUAGUUCAUGUUCUUGCGAGUUUAUCAUGGCCGUCAAAUGUUCAAAAUAUUUUGUUGGCAAGAGACCGCUAAACUGAUUGUUGGAGAGGUCUAUGAUAUGCAAUUUUUGGAAUGCAUAUUUCACCAUAGAAUUUGUUAGACCUCAAGAUAAGAACCUGCAACUUUGGAAGAGAUUCCAGCCAAUUUGGGAAUGUGUCUUGAAUUUUGUUGUUUCCAAGGUCUAGAACUUUCAACUCUCUACAUGUGAGCAAAGUUGGCAGCAAUGACCAGUCAUCGUUUCAUAAGUAACUCCACUCACUAUUCAACAAUCCUUACCUUUCUGCCAAGAAAUUGUCCUAUUAGAAUAGGAGUAAAAGGUAUCAAUAGAAAAGGAGUUUUUGAAUGGUCACCACCGCUUCAUAUUGGGCCACAUUGCAUCUAUACACUCACCCACUCAUUAGUAGGGAUGGCAAGGGGUCGGGUAUGACAAUACCAUCCCCGUCCCCGCUCUCCAUUCCCGCCCUCGUCCCCAAACCUAUCCUCAUUUAAUAGGUUUUGGAGAAUCCCCAUCCCCAUCCUUCUCAGGGGACUAUCCCACAUACCUGCCCCGAAUCCCCUUUUUUUUUUUGCAUUAAAAUUUUUUUUAUCAUAUAUUUUACCAUUAAGUUUCAUAUUAAUUUAUCAUUCAACACAUCCAAAUUAACUAUAAAGUUCAACUUAACUAUUCAAAAUCACUUCAAUAUGAAAUUCCAAAGAAUAUUAGGAAGAAUUAGGAGAGGGAGGUUAACAUUGGGUCCCAGUGCAAUCCCCUAGUUGUCACGAGCGCGUAGGUGUGUUCGGAUUGAAAUUUGGUAACCAUUUAAGUCUCGAACGGAUUUUGCCUAUUGUGCAAUUUUCGGGUUUGAUAUGUUCGGACUGUUGGAUCGAACUCAAACUCGCGUAUGUUGUACCUUGUAUUUCUAGGAUCGUCUAGGAUUCGAGGAAGAAGAAGACUUUUCUCCACCAUUCAGGUUCUAGGCCCUUCUCCUAUAGGAUGGAUGCACGGAGGCAGGUAAUAAUAAAAUAAUUUUUAUUUAAUUUUUAACAUGUCAUUAUUCUUAAUUUAUUUUUUUCGUACUAAUAUUUUUCUUCUCUUGUUCAAUUUAGGGGGGUCCAAAUUCCCAGAGAUCGACGUCUUUGGCGACGUUUAUGUUUGACUUGGGAAUGAGUUGACCGAGUCCCUUCAUGUAAGUAUUAUUUAAUUUUAAUUAUUAUGUUACGCAUUCAAGUUUAAAGGUUAUUAUCUGAAUGUUUUAAUAUUUUAUGUUAGGUUAAACAGACGACGAUGGUGGAGAGGAGCCAGUUGGUUAUUCAGGAGUCCGCCUCCCAACUUCCUCCCGAUACUCCGAUAGUCUGUGAAUUCUCCACAGGAUGCUGGGUUUCAGAUCUUGACGGAGACGUUGGAUCAGACUCUCGGAAGGAGGCCGGGGACAUAUUGUCGAGGGAUGGAGAAUGCCAGGCAGAGGGAACCCAGACCCCGUUCAUCAGCGCAGUCAAACAGUCAGGUGACUGCUUUGACAGCACAGGUGGCCACUCUUCAGUGUCAGAUGUCGGUGAUUCUGCAGUCCCUCGCAUGGUCCGGCAUUCCAGUCCAGCAUUUUGAUGUGCCGACCUUCGAGCCCGUCUACCCCGGGCAUCCCCACCAGACGACAGCCCCUGUAGACCCCCAGACCUCUGAGCUGCAUGUGCCAGACGACAAUGUAGAUUUUGAAACUUUAUUUGAUUAGUUUUUUAUUUUCAUAAUUAUUUUUUAAAUAUUUAUCUUGUAGUAUACAUUUAUUUUAUUUUAAUAAUAAAUGUAUUCUUUACAAUUCAUUUUUUUUAUUGCAAUUUCAUUUUAUUACCCAAAAAAAACCAAAUUUAUUUUUUUACAAAAUUAAAAAAAACAUAAUAUUAAAUUUUAAAAAAUAUAUAUAUUAAUUUUGCGCAACGAAACCUUUCUCGUCAAGCAAAUUCACAUUUUACAAAAUAAAAAAAGGUAAAUUUUUUUAAAAAAUACAUAUAAUUUAUUCUUGCGCGACGAAAAAGGACAUGCGCGACAACGGCAAUUUGGUCGCUCAAACGUUGGAGACACGAAUUGCGCGACGAAGAACUCUUCGUGCUGCAAAUGUCUACAACAUGAAUCGCGCGACGAAUAUUAUCCAUCGCUAAAUUUUUAAAAAAAAUACAUAUAAUUUAUUCUUGCGCGACGAAAAAGGACAUGCGCGACAACGGCAAUUUGGUCGCUCAAACGUUGGAGACACGAAUUGCGCGACGAAGAACUCUUCGUGCUGCAAAUGUCUACGACACGAAUCGCGCGACGAAUAUUGUCCAUCGCGCAGUGUUGUGGCGACGAACCUUCUUUAGUCGCGCAAAGGUUUGUGUGACGAACAGUUGUGUCAUCCCUGAACCUUUCGUGCAAUGAAGGAUAACCAUCGCACAGUUUUGCGCGACGAAUGAAAAAAAUGGGUCGCGAGAAGUCUUUCUUCACUCACUUUGUGUGACGGAUUAUGCGCGAUGAAUUUUCUGUCGCACUUGAAUUUGUGCGACUACGAGUAACUUUGCGCAACGAAAUUCUCUUCGUCGCGCAAAUCGUAAAAUAUAGUAGUGGUUGUUUCGUACUAGUGAAUUUUUCAGGGAUCACCAAAGAGGACGUGGGCACAAAGUCAAACCUUUAUAAGUUAUUGUGUUCUAUGUGUGCGUGUUUAAUUUUUGGUUCGUGCGCGUCCUUUAUUUUUGCAUGACUUGUGUGUGGUAGUUGCAUAAUACAUCAACUACAAGCACUCUUAUAACUUUAAGAGCCACUGUGUUGACAAUGACAAGAGACAAGGAGGCGGGAGAAAUCUCCCAGAAGACGACAACACAAAUGGUGAGUGUGAAGGUCGAGUUGAAGCCAUUCACCGACAAGGAGAACUUCAUGCUUUGGCAAAGAAGGAUGACACGUCCUUAAGUAGCAAGGUCUCAGCAUAGUCUUAGCAUGCAAGAAAAAGAAGCUGAAAACCAUGAAGGAUGUUGAGUGGGAAGACCUAGAGGAGCUUGCUAGAGUAUCCAUCGAACAACAUCUUAGUGACAAAGUGUUGUGUAAUGCGAUGGAAGACGCCGUGAAGCAUGCAUGGGAGAAACUUGAGGAGAUGUUUGCGUCAAUAUAUUUGUCCAAGAAGCUCUUCUUGAAUGAGGAGUUUCACUCUCUAAAGAUUGAAGAGGGCACAAACAUGAUAAAGCACAUCAGCGCCUUUAAUUGGUGUAUUGCGGACUUGUAGAGGUUGGAUGAUGUUUAUAAGUCGGAAGACAAGGCCGUGAUGUUGUUGACAUCCCUGCCUCUGCCUUUUAAGCAAGGUCUAAGCAUAUUGAUGUGCGGUGCCACCGGAUAAGGGAUUGCAUGAAUGAUGGGGAUAUUGCAAUGAAGAAGGUUCAUACAUAUGAGAACGCUUCAGAUUGCUUGACCAAGCCAAACAGAGUUGAGAAGUUUAGACAUUGUCAGAGCUUUCUCAAUCUUGUUGCAUGCUACAUGUUAAGGUGGAGCUCUUGGGAAUUACUAGAAUGAAUUCCAAGAUGUUUGAAGAGGUUCUAGGGGUUAAUGAUUUUCACAAGGUGUUUAAGGCUCGCCAAUGUGAAGAUUGUUGAAGUUUGGCUCGCUUAAAACGGUUCAGAUUAGGGAGGAGAAGCAAGAGGCGACUAGUAGUUGGUUCCUGAACCAACCGGUCGCAUAAAUCCUGGGAGCAACAGUCGCAAGUACUGGAUCGAAUUCAAGUUUCUGCAAAAGUGACCGGUCGACGCGUGUUUUCCUGCUUAACGUGUUUUGGUAUUUUACACGGCUUUUGGAGUUUUUUUCUAGCCUAUAUGGGCUAGGUUUAGUCUUCUAUUCGUAUUAGGUUUGUACUUAAGUCAUAUGAAUUAUAAAUAGGCACUUUAGUGCUGACGUGAGAAAACUAAGACAUCAAAUUAGGUUUGAGUCAAGGGUGAGAGAAAAGAGAACUAGAGUUUGAGAGAGAGCAAAGGGGUUCUUCAUUGUAACCAAAGGGGUUCUUUCUUACUAAUCAAUUUCUCGGGAAUCACUAAAGAUGACGUAGGCGCAAUGCCGAAUCACAAUAAAUUCUUGUGUUUUUUGUGCGCGUGUUUACCUUUCGGUUCAUGUGUGUGAUUUAUCUUUGCGUGGUUUGUGUGUGGUAGUUGCGUAGUGCAUCAACAAGGAGGCCUUGGAGUGUACUUUUUCACACAACAUUAUUUUCUAUUUGCUAAUUGAAUGAAAUGUCUUCCUUUAUCUAUAUUUAUAUAAAGACAGAAGGCUUAAGUGAAAUUUUCAAUAACCCCGAAAUUCCCUUGGUGAAAUAAAAUAUUAAAAUACACAGAUUUUAUUUAAAAGAGAGUAAAAGAGCAAAACAACAGUGAAUUGAAAUAAUUUUUUUGUAAAAAAAAAGAAAAAAAGAACAGCAAUUAAGGAUAAGACGUGUUGUUUUAACCCAAAAAAAAUAGAAGUUGUCUUAAAAACCUCACCCCAUCGAUGAGGCACCUAGUUGUCUUGGUUCCAUUUUGAUAGAUGACUCUUUAGGAGUUGGUCAUUCUCGUUUGGUUUGAGUUGUGUAGCUGUUGGUAUGGGUUUUGGGGUUCUUUCCCCCCUGUUUCAUCAAAAAAAAAAAAAAAAAAAAAAAACCUCAUCCCAUCGUGCAGUUCCUUACAGUUUUUUCGGGUCCAUUAACCUCUUCUCUUCUUCUCCACUUUUCGGUUGUUUAAUCUUCUUAUGCAGAGCAUCAAUGCUUUAAAUGGUUCAAAUCCCUCUCCCUCUCUCAACUGCUCUAAUUUUUGGUUCCUAAUACUACAAUUUCUUUCAUUAUUUCUGAUACAAUUUCUUUGAUUAUUUAUGCUCUUUCAAUUUAAUUUCAUUUGUAUUUCUCUGAGAAGAUUUCAGUGUUGGACUUUUUAAUCUAAUCUUGCCAUGCUGUUGUACUAGGUGUUCCGUUUUCUGCUGAUAAUUGCAUAACAAAGCCAUGGCAUUGCUUCUCUGGGAUGUUGUGUUUGUGAGAAUACAAUUUUGGGUCAGUAAUUUCCUCUUUCAAUUUCUAUCUUUUUGGAACAAAAAGAAGAAGAAAAGAAACAAAACACCAUUUGAUAAUUCCCAUUACUUAUUAAUAUUAUUUAUUGUUGUCACAAAUUUGUUCCUUAAUAUCUCUCCAGCAGUCGUUUCUUGGUUCAAGCUCUAGCUGUUUUUUGUUUCGUUUUGAGUAUUUAUUCUCUAUGCUUUAUGUUUGUACCAAUUAUCUUGCAAAAAACAGAGCACAGAAAUACAAUUGCUAUGACAAAUACAAUAGAAAAAGAGAAAAAGAAAAAAAGAAAAAACUGUUAUAAAACUAGAAUAAUCAGAGGAUGAGAAGUACCACUGUAAUAUUGGGAGUGGAAUUAUAUUUCUCUUUGUGGUGUUUACACUGACAGAAUUUCUCCUCAGAUAGACUCCACUCUUUCUCUUCUCUCUGACUCUCACUCUUUCUCUUCUUCUGACUCUCACUCUUUCUCUUCUUCUCUUCCGUAUGUUUACAAGCAAAUAUAAUGCCUAUUUAUAGGCAAAGCAAAUGACUUUUAAGGGAGACAUAAUGAUUUCUCCCCAACAUCAUUAUCCCAUCUUUUGACUAAUACCUCUAGCUAUAUCUCCAUCUUUUGACUAAUGCCCUAUAGCUAUCUAUGUGGGCUUCACUUCUUUAUAACACUCCCCCUUGAAGACCACAUAUCCCUAGAUUGGUUGCCUCAUUAAAACCUUACUUGGAAAAACCCAGUGGGAAACACUACUACAAAAAAGCAAAAAGGCGACGGUAAAUCACCGUCGUGUAUUCGGUUUUUCAAUGGUCGUGGAAUCCACCGUCAUCUUUUCCCUCAUAAACCACGACGCUAAAUCACCGUCGUUGUUAAAAUAUACAACGUCAUCAACAAAUACAAAACGACGUCUUUGUACUGCAAAAAGAUCUAAAAAAGCAGUCAAGGAUGAGAAUAGACGACCAACUCUCUAAACAAACCGUCGUUAAAAAGGAAAAAUAUGACACAUAUUAACAGAACAAGGCCGCAAGAUAGACAUACAACGACGAAAAAUAAAAUAAGACGCCGUUAAAUAUCAUUUUCACGACAAUAAAAAAUAUGACGUCUUUAAAUACAUUAGAAGACGACGUUAUUGACACCUACUACGUCACCUAUAUAAAAACAGCCGUCGUAAAAUAAAUUUUUCACUUCGAUUUUUCUAUAAAAGAUGACGUGGAAAUAGUUGUCAGUGUCAUUACUUACGACGUAUGUAUUUAUAGAGUAGACGUUGAACGACGAAACAACGUCGGUUACAAAUAUAUGAGAGUCGUAUUACAAAAUUUAUACGUCCUAUUUUCAGAAACAAACAACGACGAUAAAUAUUAGACGUUGUUAAAUAAAACAACGUCGGAAACAAAUAAAAACAGACGUGUUUAGUCUGCUAAAGUUCUAAAAAAUAGUCGAGGAUGAGAAUAGACGACAAACUCAAACAAAUCACCGUCGUUAAAAAGGAAAAAUAUGACACAUAUUAAAAGAACAAGGCCGCAAGAUAGACAUACAACGACGACAACUAAAACACUACGCCGUUAAAUAUAAUUUUCACGACAAGAAAAAAUAUGACGUCUUUAAAUACAUGAGAAGACGACGUUAUUGAAAUCUACUACGUCUCUUAUUUACAAACAACCGUCGUGAAAUAAAUUUUCCACUUCGAUUUUUCUAAAAAAGAUGACGUGGAAAUAGUUGUCAGUGUCAUUAUUUACGACGUAUGUAUUUAUAUAGUUGACGUUGAAAUUCGAAACAACGUCGGUGGCAUGUAUAUAGUCGACGUUGUAUUUAUAUGUAUUCAUUACUCACGACGCACUUAUUAAUAUAGACGACGUUGAACUUCUAAACAACGUCGGUUCCAAAUAAAUGAGAGCCGUAUUACAGAACAUAUAGACGGCGUUGAUUAUGAUGAGAGCCGUAUUACAAAUAACGUCGUUUAAUUGAUAUUAGACGGCGGUUAUGAUGAAUUACCGUCGGAAUUCAUUUCGUUCCUCUUCGUUUAUAAAAGAACUUGCGACGUGGAAAAUGUAUGAUGACGUCGUAUUUUUUAACGUUCAGAUUAUAUAUCUCGUUUUUCAGACGUCGGUGUUAUAGGAUUGGAGUCGUGUUAUUUUGAAUUACAUGGCGGUUCUUAAUCCUUCCCCGACGUGAUAUCCUGAAUAAUUGCUUCACAAUAGCGUCGUGGUUCUUCAUUGUUACGUUGCUUUAAGACGUCGGUAAAUAUGCUGAAUAACUGGUUCACAAUAACGUCGUGUUUUAUUUGAACGUAGAAAGUGAAGAAAUCACAUUACAAUAUAUUACAAAAUUAAUGUCAUACACUGCCAAUUACAUAAGCAUCAUUCAAUCCAUAUAUCUUCACACCCAUCUCGAAUAUUUUGACCGCCUAACUCACCCACCAGUUCAUCAAAUGUGUCAACAUUUGGCAUCCCUCUAGUAAAUGGCUCACACUCAAUUAUCACAUCACCUAAGACUUCAUCACCAAUAACAUCAUUAUAUUCUCUAUUAGGCAUUGAUAACACUACCGACCAACCACGAUGCAUCGGGUCGUCAACAAAAAAUAUUUGUUUGACUUGAGAAGCCAAAACAAAUUGGUCAUUCCUAUGUCCAAUUUUACUCAAAUCUACAAGGGUAAAUCCAAGUUCGUCGACUACAAGACCAGAACUAUCUAUCCAAUCACACCUAAAGACUGGGAUUGUAAAAUUUUGGUAGUCAAGGUCCCAAAUUUCUUGAAUGACACCAUAGAAACCCAUAUUUGAGAGAAUUGGGUUUUUAUCCUUGGCACUAGCAACUUGCAUGGUAUGUGCAAGUAAAUAAACUCCACUAUUUUGAGUUGUCCGCACAUCAUCUUGUGCCUUGAUAUUGAAUUUAAUACCUUUAAUAAGAUAGCUCCUAUAUAAUGGCACUGACAUGUUUGGACCAGCUGCUAGCCACCUUAAAUUUUCUGAUACGCCAUGAUUGUCUUCCUCAAGUUCACUUUGAACCUGCAAAUUAAUCAUAUCUUAAUUCAAUCUAACAUAUAAAUAAGAAGAAAAUUAAAAGAGAAAUAUGUUAUUCAACAACAUAUACCUUGAAGCGUAGCCAUUGAAUGAAAGUGCUAUUGUGCUUAUCCUGCAGCCACUUUGUUCUCUUUCUAAAUUUUGGAUAAGCAGUCUUGAUGUGGAUCAUAUGUUGCCUACAUGACACGAAAAAUUCAAGCAUUACGGUCCCAAAUAUAGAAGAUAAACAUAAGAAAUAAUUUAAAAUGGAAACUUAAAGAAUAAAACUCAUACGUACUCGAUAUAAGGUAGGACUUCCUCCGUAUUCUCCAAGACAUAUAGAUGUGCUUGAUUCAACAGGUCCUGAUCAACUACGCUCACUGUGCAACCUGAUAAUGGCUUUGAAACUCCCAUCUUUUGGCUUGAAGGCACUCCAACUGUACUAACAUCAGAUAAAUGCUGAGUACAAAACUCUACCGCUUCUUCAGCUAUAUACCGCUCAGCAAUGCAACCUUCGGGACGAGUACGAUUCUGAACAUACCCCUUCAGCACUUUCAUAUAUCUUUCAAACGGAUACAUCCACCUAAAAUAUACUGGCCCACAUAGACGAACUUCUCUGACAAGAUGUACUACUAGAUGAACCAUGAUAUCAAAGAAUGAAGGGGGAAAGUACUUCUCAAGCAAACACAGAGUAACUACUACAUCUUCUUCCAACUUAUCUAGCUUGGAAACAUCAACAGUCUUUGCACAUAUAGCAUUGAAGAAGAAGCACAAACGAGUUAUUGCAUACCUUGCAGGCUUCUCCAAAACAGAACGAAUUGCCACAGGGAGCAAUUGUUGCAUUAAGGUAUGACAAUCAUGUGAUUUAAGGCCAAGAAGUCUUGAAUCUUGUAAAGAUACAAGAUUUUUAAUAUUUGAAGAAUAACCUUCAGGGACCUUCAUACCAUAGAAAGAAUUGCAAACCUCUCUCUUCUCUGCUCUUGACAAAUUCCAAGGCCCAGGAGGCAAACGAGUACGUCUUUCUCCAUACUGGGGUUGCAAAUCAAUUUUGACCCCCAUGUUCAAUAAAUCUAAUCGAGCAGCAAUCCCAUCUUUAUUUUUUCCAGGGAUCUCCAGCAAUGUACCAAUGAUACUAUCGCAAACAUUCUUCUCAAUGUGCAUAACAUCUAGGGCAUGCCUCACAGGAAGGUAUUUCCAAUACUCGAGAUCAAAGAAUAUUGAUUUCUUCUUCCAACAAACUCUGUCACCAUUUUCAACCAUAUGCAGCACUUCUUCUCCGGUUAAUGGCUCGGGAGGUAUGCCAUAUUCAGGUUUCCCAUUAAAAGCUGCACGUUGCCUUCUAUAUGGAUGAUUGAUUGGUAACUAUUUUCUAUGCCCAAUGUAACAAAUUUUGUGGCCAUUUUUCAACCUAUGACUAGGUGUAUCAUCGCCGCAUAUUGGACAAGCUUUAUAUCCUUUAACAACACAACCAGAUAAGUUUCAUAGGCGGGGAAAUCAUUAAUUGUCCACAUUAAUGCAGCUCUGAGUGUAAAGUAUUCUCCAUUAUGUGCAUCAUACACUCCUCUAAUCCCAUCCCACAAAGAUUUUAAAUCAUCAAUCAAAGGCUCCAAGUAGACGUCUAUAUCAUUUCCGGGUUGUUUAGGACCGGAAAUCAAUAAGGUUAACAUCAUGAACUUUCGUUUCAUGCACAGCCAUGGAGGGAGAUUAUAUGUAACUAAGAUAACCGGCCAACAACUAUAUCUGCUACUUAGAGAACUGUGGGGAUUGAAUCCAUCAGAUGAAAGAGCCAAUCUCAAGUUUCUCGGCUCAUUACCAAACUCAGGCCAUUUAUCAUCAAGAAGUUUCCAAGACGGGGAAUCCGCCGGAUGAGACAUCUGACCGUCAAUUGAUUUUCUAGCAGCAUGCCAAGUCAAACUCUUAGCUGUCUCAUGUGAUUGAAACAUCCUUUUAAACCUUGGAAUUGGAGGAAAAUACCACACCACCUUCGCUGGCACACCCUCUUUCAAGAUUGAAUCUUUGCCUUCCUUCCACCUUGAGAUACCACAAGUAGGACAAUUAGUUGAAUCCUCAUACUCCUUCCUAUACAAGAUGCAAUCAUUGGGGCAUGCGUGCAUUUUCUCAUAACUCAGCCCCAAUGCACACAAAGUCUUUUUAGCCUCAUACAUAGAGGUUGGUAUUGUAUUUCCUUCUGGAAGCAAAUCGCCUUGAAGUAUCAAUAAUUCUGUAAAACAGACAUCACUCAUCCCAUGUUUUGCCUUCAAAUUAUACAACUUCACUAAUGCCGAUAACUUCGUGUACUUUCUACAACCAGGGUACACUGGUUGAUCUCCAUCCCCAAUCACAUUGGCAAACUCAUACGGAUCGGAACCAAAAUCACCAAAAUCAUUAUCAUCCAUAUCAAUUUCUUCAGACACAAAACUGUACCUACUAUGGCCAUCAUCUUCUUCAACAUUUCUACUAGCAUUAGUAGUUGCUUCCCAAGGUUCUCCGUGAAAUGUCCAAUUCUUAUAGCUUUGGUCAAUUCCAUUAAAGUGUAAGUGAUCCCUUAUAAUUCCAACCCCAAACAACUUCAAAUUAACACAUUUAACACAUGGACAACGGAUAUGUGUUGUAGUUAGAAGAUUUUCUACAGCAAAGUUCAAAAAUGCUUCCACCCCAAACUCAUAUGCCUUCGAUCUUCUAUCCGAGUGCAUCCAUGACUUAUCCAUCUCCGACACUAUAACCUAUUAUCUAUAAUAAAGUGAUAAUACAGGCAAUGACCAUCACUAUAGCAGAUUAUACAAAGAUCUAAUAGCAAGUAAUACACAACAGAGACGACGGGUUUUAAACAAAAACAGACGUAUUUGGCAUAUAUAGACGACGGAUUUCCAACAGACGUCGUCUAAUAUAAGUAAUACAAACGACGGUUUAUGAAAAAACCGUCGUGUAUAAGUAAUACAACGACGGUAAUUAAAGAAACCGUCGUGUAAUCGUCGUCGUAUGCCUAAAAAGGCGUCGUGUCUCAGUUUAUUUUCAAGAACCCAAAACCCAUUAAGAACACAACAUAUAUAUGAAACCAAGCAAGAAACCAACAUAUACAUGAAACCAAGCAUGAAAACAAUAAAUCCAUUCCCAAUUCAACAUAACAUAGGGUGAUUAAAAGAUCCGACAAAAUUAAAUCCAUUCCCAAUUCAACAUAACAGAUAAUGUAAUCCAUGAACCCAUUAAACAGAAAAUCCAUGAACCCAUUAAACAGAAAAUCCAUGAACCCAUACCUAUAAGCACAUUAUUAACAGAUCGCAAAGCAUAUACCUAAAACCCUUUAACAAAACAACCUAAUAUCAUUCAAUGAAUUUACAAGGGGAAGAUAGGGUUUGUACUUACAGGUUGGACGAGCUCACAGAUUCGACGGAGCCUGGAGUGUGCAACUUUUAAUUAGAGCAGAAGUGAGAGAGCGAAAUGUUAUGUUGCGCGAAAUCUGAAAAUUUUAGGGUUCAGGGUUAGAAGUAUAAGAAUAAGAGCCAAAUAUAAAAAAAUUUAGGCCGCGCGAAAAUUUUUAGAGCGCACGCUCUUUAAAACGUCGAAAGAAAAACCAUGGCGAAAGUUCUACAAGAACCGACGUAAAUGUAAUAUUCCACGACGGAAACACUGAACGUAACGCCGUUUAUUUUGACGCUUCAUUUUUCGGAUUAAUUUUAAAUUUAUUUUGAAUAUUUUGAUAUAAAGACGACUGACAAACCACGUCGGGGUUAAGAAAUUGAAAACGUUGUAAAUUGUAAUAGACGACUUACAUAUUAAAAUGACGUCGUUUAAAGUAGAAACCAUGUCGGAUAUUUUACUGCACGACGUAACAUAUGUAUUCCACGACUCAACCACCGUCGUUAACAAUUAAUACCCUAAACCCUUAAAACUAAAUUAUAUAAUUUUAAAAAUUAAGUUUAUAAAAGGGUUUAUGGUUUUACAGCCUAAUAUAUACCCUAGCCUACCCAAAAAUUAUACUUUAAAAAUAAACCCCAAUAAAUAACAACCCUAAUCUCUAAACCCUAGACUCUAAACCCUAAACCAUAAAACUAGAAGUGAUUUUAUGACUCAUCAAAACAAUUUUGUUUUGGAUGGUCAUUUUAAAUUUUUGUUAUUCAAAAUGAAUUUUUUCAAGGUUUAGGGGGAAGAAAAUAUAUCAAUGACUUCAUAGGAGUUGACUUUGCAUUUUUCUGAUUUAUUUUAAAUUUAUUUUGAAUAUUUUGAUAUAAAAAUAAUAAAAUAUUCUUAUCACAACAACAAACCACGUCGGUGUUAAUAAAUUGUAGACGUUGUAAAUUGUAAUAGACGACUAAGUUGUAAAAAUGACGUCGUUUAAAUGAGAAACCAUGACGGAUAUUUAACUAUCCGACGUAAAAUAUAUAUUCCACGACUUAACGGCUGUCGUUACAAAGUACUACCCUGAACCCUUAAGAAAUUGAAGACGUUGUAAACCAUAAACGGCUCAAUUGUUCAAAGAACGUCGUCUAAAUAUCCUUUUACGUCGGAUUUGUUUAAAACGAAACAACAAAAAACGACGGCUUUUGACUUUAUUACGUCGUUGGAAAAGUAUUACACGUCGGUUACGCAAUUUGUAUGUUUGUUUUUUUUUUAAUUUAAGAAAAUCUCAACAAAUUUUUACAUUAUAUAUUAUAGACAAAAUUUGUACAUUAUACAUAAAUAUCAAGUGUUCAAUAAUUCCCCUAUUCCAGGUGACGGCAAACAAACUCUGCCCAUUCAUUCCGGACUUCAUCAAUUGCUUCUUGGGGGUAUGGCUCUUCCUGUUUUCCUCCCUUGGCAUACUGCAUAAACAAUGAUUAUUAGGGUUUAUAAAUAAAAGGAAAUUCAAUCACAGACGACCAUAACCGACGUAGUAUAUAUAUUCAACGACGGUAAUUUUACAUCACCGUCGUUGACAAUACAAAAAACGACGUAAAAUGUAUGAAGGUAAUUUCUUCUUACCUUCUUCUCAAACCCCGAGGAAGGAUCAAUGAUGAUGUCCCUCAUGAAGCGCAUCACAUAAUACCCGCAUUCGACAUUGCUGGGUUGCUUUGGUGUGCCUGACAGAGUUUUCCAAAUAACUGCCUUACGGCCUGGUCUGGCAAUGUGAGAAUUAUAAAUUUUUAUAGCACUGUUCACGAUAUUUUUGGCCUCUUCAUCGACCACACGAUUUCCUGGCAGAUGAUCCAGAAAAUAGACGGUUUCUCUCUUUGCCCUUACAAUCAGCAAGAUCCAAUGACGGCUGCACAAAAUUAAUAUAAAAACGACGGUUAUUUACAAAAACGACGUAUUAUAAUAUUUCACACGACGAAAUAAAGUAGCAAUCGACGACAUUAUAUAUUUAUAACGACGAUAAAUAACUACCGACGUGGUUAGUAGUUUCAAACGACUCAAUAAAAUAAAACACCGACGUGGUUAGUUUAUACGCUGUCAUUUAUUGAAAAUCAUAAAAACAAAAUCCUGUUAAGGAGACUAACCCUGGAUUGUAAGGCAUCAGGAAAAUCUGUUCACCGUCAGUCCUCUGAAGUCGAGCUGCUAGUAGGCGUGAUCUGUCAGCUAUUGUGCCAGAGCUGGCACUAACUGUAGCAGGGUCGAUAAAGCCAACCAUGGAGCACAUAUUUGCUCGUUUCAAAAUAUCGUGUAAGUACCUAAAUAUAUAAAAUAAUAUAAACAAGUCAGCACAAAAAAACACACGACGGUUAUGUAUAACAAACGACGUAUUAUAAGAUUUCACACGACGUACUGGAAUAGAAAACGACGUUAUAAUAUAUUUAUCACGACGGUACAUACUAACGACGUGGUUAGUUAGUUAAGACGACGCAAUAAAUAAACCAACGACGUAUUAUUUUAGAAUGACAAACCUCAUAUAUACAAAAAAACACACGACGGUUAUGUAUAACAAAACGACGUAUUAUAAAAUUUCACACGACGUACUGAAAUAGACAACGACGUCAUAAUAUAUUUACCAAGACGGUACAUACUAACGACGUCGUUAGUUAUUUAAGACGACGCAAUAAAUAAACCAACGACCUAUUAUUUUAGAAUGACAAACCUCAUAUAUACAAAAAAAAACACGACGGUUAUGUAUAACAAAACGACGUAUUAUAAAAUUUCACACGACGUACUGAAAUAGACAACGACGUUAUAAUAUAUUUACCAAGACGGUACAUACUAACGACGUCGUUAGUUAUUUAAGACGACGCCAUAAAUAAACCAACGACGUAUUAUUUUAGAAUGACAAACCUCAUAUAUACAGCAAUGACAGUGGCUCCUAUUUCUUCCAUGCCUGCAAAUUGUGUAAUAUCUUCAGGCAGGAGGAAGGUAUCGCGCUCUAGACCAAAGACCUCCUUAUCAAUUGUAAAGUGCAGGGUCUUGUCCUGAGGCACGAGUGUCGUUUCCACAAAACGACAAAGGGAUUUUAAAGAAGAUGGCGCCUCCAUAUUUGAAUAAUCAACACCUUUAAUAACCUGUUUAAAGAAAUAAAAAAAAUGACGUGGUAAUUCAAUAAAAACGACGGUUUAAGGAAUAAAACGUCGUCUGAAAUGAAUUUAAACGACGGUGAGAAAACCGUCGUGGUGAAUAAUUUAUUACGUCUUAGAAAAACAUUCUGCCAUCUAAGUUGUAAACAAACGACGGUUUAAAGAAAAAUAUCGACGUCUGGAAUUUUGAAAAACAAAUAAAAAAGGCAAAGUUAUGUGAACAUACCUGGUCGUCAUUUUCUUUCUCCUUUUCAUCUUGUUUUUCUUCUUUAUUUUCUUCAUAUAUGACGUCGGGAAUGACUAACUCCGUCGUCUAAAAACCACAAAGUUUUAAAAAUAACGACGUUUAAUGGCGUGUAAAACAAGUAAACUAAAUACGACGUGGUAUUGAAAUACAAACGACGGUUUUGUUUUAAAAUCGUCGUGGUAUGUAUUUCAAACGACGGUUUUAUUAAUAAUAACGACGUCUAAUGGUUUUUAAAAAAACAGAGAAUUCAAAGUUCAAAUAUGUUACCUUUUCUUCCUGAUGUUUCCCAUUUUUGGCAGUAUCAUCCUCAAAAUGCUGGGAUCUCACAUCACCUCCAGAGCAGCUUGCUUUGUCAGACAUUGGAUUUUUGGGACUUUGGCUAAUUCUGGGUUUAAGCAUGGCUGGAUCAAAAUUGGGAAUUAAUUGGGAAAGCUGACUCAGGAAAUGCUCCCUCUCAGCCUCUACCAAUUGUUUCGUUCUAGCCUCCAUCCUUAAAGCCUCUUCCCUUGCCUUAGCCUCCAUCUUUUUAGUCUCUUCUUGAAGGAGAACUCUUAAACUGUCCUUCAAACGGUCGUCAAAGCUCACUCUCUGUGGUUUGGGUAAAUUGAAAUAUUGCCUUGGUGAGAUCCCAGCACCUACUCCUCUGAGUCUGCCUGGAUGCUCGGGGCCCAAAGCCAUGGUCAGCACAUCAUUGCUGCCAGAAACAUUGACUUUGCCUUCCGAGACUUGUUUUUGCAAAUCAUCCUAAAACAAAGAUAUAUAAAAAAGUAAGAACAAAAACACACGACGGUUAUUUAUAUACAAACGACGUAUUAUAUAAUUUCACACGACGCAAUAACAUAUAAAUCGACGUUAUUAUAAUUUAUCACGACGGUAGUUAUACCGACGUGGUUAGUUUUUUAAAACGACGAAAUUAAUAAACCACCGACGUCUGAUGCUUUAUUUACAGACAACAGAGGGAUGAUUCAAUAUUCACACCUUUAACGACGUUGUUUAAAACAUUUCGACGUAGUAAUUUAAUACAGACGACGCGAAAAUGAACCACCGACAUCUUAUGCUAUAAUUACAGAAAACAGAGUUGUGAUUCCUGAUUAGACCUUUAACGACGUUUUUUAAAAUAUGUCGACGUGGUAAUAUCAUUCACACGAUGCAAAAUAUAACAUAAGACGUAAUAAGAAUUAUUCACAGUUUAAUAAAAAUUUAAAACAGAGUGAGUAGGCUUACAAUUAAUUUUGCUUUCUCUGCCACCUUUGGAUCAGGGAUGUUACCAUGUUUGUCCUGUCUAGCUCUCUUCCAUAAGGUAGAUCGAUCAAUUUCUACCCCAGGCAUGGUUUCCUCUAAUUGAUCCUCCAAACCGGCAUAUCCUUUUCGAGACAAUCGAUGAUUGUACUCAAGUUUCUCCCUAAUCUGUGCAUGUUGAGAAUGCACAGACUCAAAAUCUUUGGAUAGCCUUGAAGCUACAAAGGCAUCCCAUUGUGCUUUCUCAAUGAAUUUAUAUGUUUCAGGGGGUUGGCUUAAUCUCUCCCUGUCAUUGGUGUAUGGAAGGAUAUAAUGCCUCGUUAGUGUAGACUUGAAAUCCUUUCAUUUCUUGGCAGCAGAAGCUAAGACAGAGUUCUUGCCCCCUUGACCUACCACAAAGGCAAUGUCAACUGCUUCCCAAAUCUGCUCCUUUAUAUCCUUGGGGAUUUGAGCCCAUUUCAAGUCCACAAGUGGAACUCUGGAGCGUGCCAACACACCAAUAUAGGACUGCAUCUCAAUAUGUGCUUGGCCAAUUCCUUUCCCCCUUUUAUUGUACUCAACAAUUGGCCUCAGUUUCUGAAGUUUUCUCUUCACAACACGAGGCAUUGUGCUCAUACCUCGACCAGCCUUUGAAUCAUCAGAGAUUGUUGUCGCGCUGGUUGGUUCUGUAUCAGCAGAUGAUGAAGCAAACUUCAUCUUCUUCGAAGACUUCACUAUCUUCGAAGACUUCUCUUGAGGAGGUACCAUUCCAAGGUCCUUACCUCCAUUUUCUUGGAGCCAGAAUCCUUACUUUGGUCUUGGUGAGAAACUAUUUUUACAGACAAAACUGCAAGUGAAAAUAUUUCAAGAAAAUAUUAAGAACACAAACGACGGUUAUUAAUAAAAUACGACGUAUGAUAUGAUUUUAAACGACGCAAUGAAAUAAUAUCAGACGUAAUAAAUGUUUAAAACCAAGGUAAUUAAACAACGACGAAAUAAUUAACUAUAAACGACGUGAUAAUUAACUAUAAACGACGGAAUAUUUAUAUAACGUCGUGGUAUUGAUGUUCACACGACGUCAGUAGUAAUAUACCGUCGUCUAUAUAAGGAUCCAAAACCCUUCUUUCUUUCUCUGUGAAUGUUUGAUUGCAGAUUUGAUUUUUCUGAACCAUGGUUUUUGUUUUCUAAUUUGAUAAAAUACAAGGCCAAGAAAGAAAGUUUUUGAAUCUUAUAUAGACGACGGUAUUUUAAUAUGACGUCGUGGUAUUAACAUUCACACGACGUAAAACAAUAAGAUACUGCCGUCUAUAUUAGAUACCAACCCUAAUUUUUUUUCUUUAUAUUUUAUCAAAUUAGGGAAAAACAAAAACCAUUGUUCAGAGAAAUCAAACCUGCAAUUAAACAAGCAAAUAAAAAAAAGACUAUAAUUUUAAAAACAACUUUGUCAAUUUUCAAACGACGCUAGAACGACUGACGAACCGUCGUGGUCUACAUAUUUAACCACGUAAAUAAGAAGCUACCGUCGUCUUAUUUAGUUGAGGUAGUUGUCUUCAAAGUUGGAAACUUUCCCUAUUUGUCUGUAAAUUUUAUCGAACUUGGAAAGAAGUAAAAUGAUUUUGGCCAGAAAAAAGGUAAAAAGAUUUUUCAAACAAAAAACGUAUGAGCAUGCAAAACAGCAACGAAAAUAGUGAAAAUGAAAGCUUACCUUUUGCGUGCAAUGAAAGCAAGAGGAAGACGAUCGAUGUUUAAGUUCAGAGACGACGAAGAAGACGAGAGGAAGACGAUGAGAUACUCUAACAGUGCUCUGACAAGGAAAAAAGUCUAAAAGUUUUCUCUGGGAGAUUGAAAUUUUUAAUCGGGUUUGGAAAUAGUGCAUGUGUAAGUCAGGUAGACGAAAAGUUGCUUACAUAUAAAACCAUUUCAAAAAAAUAAUACGGCGGUUACAUAUAACUACGACGUAUAAAUUACAAACUACGACGGUAAAUUUAACUUCGGACGUGGUAAAUAAAUACGACAGUAGUGUUGUAGGUACCGUCGUAGUAAACUCAAAAAUUAAAGUACAUAAGUAAUAACUCGCGUCAUGGUAGAUCAUUUAACACGUCGUUUUUAUUAAUGCACCGACGUAGAUUUCUGUAAUAUACGUCGGUAAUACCGACGUUGAUUUUACAAUUUAAACGGCGGUUUUUUGUAAGGACCGCCGUUGGUUUUAAAAAUUUAUUCUAUAAAUUUGUCGCUUUCAUUCAUUUUCGGUUUACAUUUAGGGUUCCAAGUUCUUCCUCUCUCAGAGACACUGUCUCUCACGUCUCAAAGACAAUAAUUUGGAUGUCUUUCUCAAAGAGAAAUUGAGCUUACUCGCAUCAAAUAUAGGACACUUAGUGCUUCUGAAUACUCCUUGCUUUCCAUCAAAAAAGAUGCAAGCCUGGCCUCCACUCCCUGUCGAAGGAAAGUUCGCUUCUCAGGGAAAUCUGAAGAUCAGAUGUGCCUGAUCCUCUGCUUGAUUUUCUUGGCUAAGAAGAUCCGUCAGAUCCAAACUGUUAAAGAAACUGAAACUGUUAAAGAAACCCUAAACUAACACGACGCAAUAUUUGUUUUGCGACGUGGAAUCUUUUCAUUUAACGUCGUUAGGUUUAAUAUAACCGACGUGGAUUUGAAUUUUUAAAUUAUGAAUAGAAUUUUUUUUCCCGUGACCUUUUAGUUUAUUUUUCAAUUACAGUGCGUUAUAAAUAGAGUUUUUUUUUUCCGGAGGAAAUUUAAAAUGAAGGAAAUUAAUGUUCUGGAAUAUGUAAAGUUUCUUUUUUGGAUGACAGAUUUAAAUAAAAUAAGAAUAUAAAAACAACGACUGUUUUUGUAUUACUGUCGUCGUUUUUUGUCGUCUUAAGUAAGACUAAGACGACGUAAUAUAUUUGUUGAGCGACGUUGAUUUGUUUUUUAAAUGUCGUUACAUAUAAUAUAACCGUCGUUAACAAAAAUUCUUAUUAAGACGACGGUUUAAAUUAAAGGUACGACGUAUAAAAUGAAUAAAUACGACGUUAAAUUUUAUAGUACGAUUUAAAGAUAACGUCGUAGAACUAUACGAGAAUGACGUCGAUAUAUUUAUAUUUUCCGUCGUUGUACAUUAAUUUAAUACGGCGAUAUUUUGUAUUUUCAAGCCGUGGAUUUGUUUGUAAUUAUACGGCGUCUUAUACGAAAACCUCGUCGUGUUAUUUUAUGAGUAAAAACGGCGGCUUUUAUUGAAAUCGUCGUCUUCACUUUCUACGUCGGUCGAUUCAUAACUUUUGCCGUUAUUUGUUGGCUUUGAUUUUACACUGCGGAAAUCUGUUUCAAAUAGACGUCGGUUUUUUAAUUAGGUACGUCGUUGUUUUUGAACAGCCAUUUGAAUCUCCAUUUUUUAGUUGUCUAAGGUGGUAUUACACGACGGUGUUUUUAGAACCGUCGUCUUUUUAAAAACCACGACGGUUUUCACUUAGACCAUCGUUGUUUUCUGGUAGUCUUUUUCACUUUUUGUAGUAGUGAAAAAACCUAAGCGAAGGAAAAAGAGUACAACUUGAUUUGGGACAUAAGGGUAAUGCGCUCAUGUUGCCUCGUUAAAACCUUGCUAGGAAAAACCCGGUGGAAAAAAAAACCCUAGUCGAAGGAAAAAGAGUACAACGCGCAUAUGUCCUGUGUUAGAGGACUCUUGAAUGCUCCCCCUGAUUUUGCAUGCUCCAACUUGAUUUCUUGCAGAGUUGUCGUAAUCCGAUGCCAUGCACUAACUUUUGGAAUGUACAUUUCGGCAAUGAUUUAGUGAAGAGAUCUGCCAGGUUAUCGCUUGAGCGGAUUUGUCUGACUUUGAUUUCUUGACUCUUCUGGAGCUCGUGUGUAUAGAAAAACUUUGGUGAUAUGUGCUUAGUCCUGUCACCCUUGAUAUACCCUCCUGUUAUCUGAGCAAUACAAGCUGCAUUGUCCUCAUUCAGGAUUGUUGGAGUGUCUGUUGCUGAGGGUAGGGCACAUGUGCUUCGGAUGUGAUGGAUCACCGACCUUAACCAAACGCAUUCACGACUGGCUUCAUGGAGGGCAAGUAUUUCUGAGUGAUUGGAAGAUGUGGCCACUAGUGUUUGUUUCGUUGAGCGCCAUGAGAUUGCAGUUCCUCCGCAUGUAAAUACAUACCCAGUCUGUGAUCGUCCUUGAUGUGGAUCAAAGAGAUAUCCUGCAUCAGCAUAACCAACAAUACUUUGGGCGUUGGUCGAUUCACUGGAAUAGAAUAAGCCCAUGUCUGUUGUCCCACGAAGGUAUCGUAGAACAUGUUUGAUGCCGGUCCAAUGUCGCCUUGUUGGAGCAGAACUGUACCUUGCUAACAGAUUUACUGAAAAUGAUAUGUCUGGUCUGGUACAUUGUGCCAGGUACAAUAAAGCACCUAUUGCACUAAGAUAUGGUACUUCUGGACCAAGGACCAUUUCAUCAUCCCAUUUUGGACGAUAUGGGUCUUUCUUAGUGUCAAGCGACCGAACGACCAUUGGAGUGCUAAGUGGAUGGGCUUUAUCCAUGCCAAACCGUUUCAAUACUUUUUCAGCAUAAGUUGAUUGAUGCACCAAAAUUCCAUUAUCACUAUGCUCAAUAUGUAAGCCAAGACAAUAUUUUGUCUUUCCAAGGUCUUUCAUCUCAAACUCACGUUUGAGAUAAUCAGCAGUCUUUUGAAGCUCUUCCGAAGUUCCAAUCAGAUUCAUGUCGUCGACAUAUACUGCCACUAUCGCAAAUCCAGACUCUGAUUUCUUAAUAAACACACAUGGGCAAAUAGGAUCAUUUGUGUAUCCUUCCUUCAGUAAAUACUUACUGAGACGAUUGUACCAUAUUCGUCCAGAUUGUUUUAGCCCUUAUAAUGAUCUUCUCAAUUUAACUGAGAACAUGCCCCGUGGUUUAUUUCUAACUGCUUCAGGUAGCUUGAAUCCUUCUAGAACUUUCAUGUAUAUAUCUGUAUCCAAUUCUCCAUACAGAUAUGCAGUAAUGACAUCCAUGAGUCUCAUUUCAAGUUUUUCUGAAACAGCCAAACUUAUUAAGUAACGGAAUGUAAUUGUGUCCAUUACUGGAGAGUACGUUUCCACAUAAUCAAUUCCAGGCCUUUGUGAAAAACCUUGCGCAACGAGUCGCGCUUUAUACCUUGAUAUCUUAUUUUUCUCAUUGCGCUUUCUUGUAAAUACCCACUUGUAACCUACAGGGUUUACAUUGAGUGGAGUUGGAACAAUAUGUCCAAAAACACUCUUUUUUUUCCAAAGAAUUUAAUUCUGCCUGGAUUGCAUCUUUCCACUUAGGCCAAUCUUGCCUCUGUGUACAUUCAUUAAUAGAGCACGGCUCAAUAUCAUCAUCUUUUAUGAUCUCAGCAGCCACUGAGAAUGCAAAUAUAUCAUCGAUGAUCAUCUCAUUUCUACUCCACAAUUCAUCAGUGGACGCAUAAUUUAUGGAGAUUUCUUGACUUUCAGGUACAGUUGCCACUCCAGGGGCAUUGUCUCACCAAUGACGUUUUCCUUUUCAGGAAGUACCUGUCCCUCUUUGGGGGCAUUUGAAUUAUGAAUUGUGGGCUCUCUAUUUAUUUCAUUUGGAUUCAUUUUGUCCAUCAACUUCCUCUUUCGAGGAACUGAAUCCUUUGAGCCUAGUGGUCUGCCACGCUUCAGGCGUGCAACAGAUGAACCAUUUGCUGGCAUAUUGCCUUGUCCAUUAUGGACAUCAAUCCCUGCGGGUGCAUUUGCAGUUGGGAUAUGAGAUUUCGUCACCUUUGCUGCAUCAUUAAAUGCAUCUGGCAUCUGAUUUGCAAUACUUUGGAGGUGAACGAUCCUUCUCACUUCAUUUUCGAAUUGAACAGUAUGAGGAUCGAGAUGAGACAAUGUGGAUACAUUCCAUGAUAAUUCAUGUCGUUCUUCAGGAAUGAGUUUGCCUUGUUCUUUAGACACAGAUUUUUCUCCACCUAAUGAUGGGAAGAUUGUCUCAUCAAAAUGACAAUCCGCAAACCGUGCGGUAAAAAUAUCACCCGUCAGGGGUUCCAGAUAUCUGAUGAUAGAUGGUGAAUCAAAACCAACAUAAAUUCUCAAUCUACAUUGAGGGCCCAUCUUAGUACGUUGCGGUGGUGCAAUGGGCACAUAUACCGCACACCCAAAAAUUCUUAAAUGUGAAAUGUUUGGUUGAUUCCCCAAUACGAGUUGUAUUGGAGAAUAUUGAUUGUUUGCGACGGGCCUCAAUCGCACAAGUGAUGCUGCAUGUAAAAUGGCAUAUCCCCAAGCAGAAACUAGCAACUUUGUUUUCAUUAGCAAAGUGCGUGCUAUCAACUGAAGGCGCUUAAUUAAAGCUUCUGCCAAGCCAUUUUGAGUAUGCACAUGGGGAACAGGGUGUUCAAUGUCAAUGCCUAGUGACAUGCAGUAGUCAUCAAAAGUUUGAGAUGUAAAUUCACCAGCAUUAUCGAGUCUGAUUGACUUAAUGGGAUAAUCUGGGAAUUGGGCUCAUAAUUUGAUUAUCUGAGCCAAAAGUCUAGCAAAUGCCAUAUUCCGAGUAGACAAAAGACAAACAUGUGACCAUCGGGUAGAUACGUCUACCAAGACCAUAAAGUACCGAAAUGGUCCACAUGGAGGAUGAAUAGGUCCAUAAAUGUCCCAUUGAAUUCUCUGCAAAAAUGAUGGAGACUCAACAUCAACCUUUGGUUGUGAUGUUCUGAUCACCAACUUCCCUUGUGAACAAGCUUGGCAAAAGAUGUCACUUGAUAACAUAAUGUGUUUAGUCAACAAGGGAUGUCCUUUAGAGUUGGUGAUGAUUCUGCGCAUCAUGGUGGAUCCAGGAUGACUCAACCUGUCAUGCCAAAGCUUAAAAGCAUUUGAGUCAAUGGACUCUUGGUCCAUGACACUAUGUGCCUCAAUUGUCCGUAUGGUUGUAUAAUACAACCCUGAUGAGAGCGCACAAAGCCUCUCCAGUAUACGCUUUUGGGUAUCACUGGAGGUAAUGCAAAGAAAUUCCAUUUUUUUCUCUUUCUUUGUUUCAACAUGGUAGCCAUUCAAACGUAUAUCUUUGAAACUCAAUAGAUUCCUUCUGGAGUUAGAUGAAUACAAAGCAUCUGGAAUGGACAGUAUUGAUCCAUUUGGUACCAUAAUUUGGGCUAUUCCUGAGCCUUCAAUCAGAUCUGCAGGACCUGAUAUGGUUGUUACCUUUGCUUUUGUAAGCAUUAAUUUUGAGAAAUACUUUCGAUCUUGAAGGAUCGUAUGAGUAGUCGCGCUGUCUGCGAGACAAGUAUCUUUGCCAUAACCUUUGUUUUGAGGGCAUCCAUAAUUUACAUCCAUGCCUUUAAAUAAGCUGAAUCAAUAAAGAAGAAAACAUUACUACUUUUAUUGGAUUGAAAUGAAAAAUUAAACAACACUUCAGCUACUACAAAUAGUACAUUAAGGAAUUUAAUCUAAUUCGGACUCAGAAGCUUCAUUCCCUCUUUCAGUAACAAAGUCAGAAACAUCCAGAUGCGUUUUGUUUAGCUGACGCGAUAUUUCUGAUGAGCCAUCUGUGGCUGGUGGAGCAUGAUCAAUGUAAUUUAUCUCCACUUUCCUGUUCUUAAGUGAAGCUUGAUAGAGAUCCGCCAAAUGCUUGGGCAUACGACAUGCGCGCACCCAAUGUCCCUUUGUACCACAUCUGUGACAAGUGCUUUCAACAUUUCUAGGCACAUGGCUCAUCUGUGCCUUUCCCUUAUUACGGGAUGUAUUUUUGCCAUUCGUGGAUGGACCGCUCCUUGGACCUAAACCCUCUGAAAGAGCACCACGAUCUUUUCUGCUUCCUUGCCAGCGGCCACGCUUGCCCCCUCGCCUAUGUUUGUGGAUACUACCACGAGAUGAAGUGGCAUUCACUUCCUGAGAUGCAGCAUUUAUUUCAGGAAGUGGUGCUGAGCCUGUUGGGUGAGAUUGGUGAUUCUUUAAUAAGAGCUCAUUAUUCUGCUCAGCUAACAAGAGGCAAGAUACAAGUUCCGAGUACUUCUUAAAACCGCUAUGUCUGUAUUGCUGCUGAAGGAGGACAUUUGAAGCAUGAAAAGUGCUUAGAGUUUUUUCGAGCAUAUCCUCCUCAGAUAUAUUUUCCCCACAUAGCCUCAUUAAUGAGGUAAUUCUGUGCAUAUCAGAGUUAUAAUCGGACACUGACUUGAAAUCUUGAAAUCUCAAGUGAGUCCAUUCGUAUCUAGCUCUUGGGAGAGUCACCAUCCUCUGGUGAUCGUAUCUUUCACCUAGAGCUUUCCAUAGAACCAACGGUUCAUCAACCACCACAUAUUCGCUCUUCAGCGCUUCAUGGAUGUGGCGGCGAAGAAAGAUCAUGGCCUUCGCAUUCUCUUCAGGCGAAGCAUCAUUCUCAUCUACAAUUGUUUGUCCGAUGCCAUUGGCUCGUAGAUGAAUUUUGGCAUCUAGGACCCAUGAUAAAUAGUUGUCCCCGGAAAGGUCCAAGGCAGCAAACUCUAGUUUUGCCAAAUUUGCCAUCCGAAAAUUUGCCAAAUAGUUGGGGAUUUAUCAUUUGAUGAAUACUUUUCACAAUACACUUACUCUACAUAUAGAGAUGAUGAAGAUAGUGAAAAUAUAGGAACUCUAUGUGGUACUAAGUUACUCAUGUAUCUUACCAUGUAAUGUAUAAAGUGUAAAAUAUUGUAGUAAAUCAUGAUUAUGGUGUGUUUAAUCUUUUUUUCAUUAAUUACUACAUAUUUUCUACACUCAUAGUUUUUGCCAGCUCGCUGUAUAAUCAACUUAAAUCAGUUAAAUCCAUCAUGUAAUGCAUUUCCUUCUAAUUUUAUUUUUUUUUUGAUAAACUAAUAGAUAAUUGACAAAUAAACAUUCUCCAAAGUUUCAAUAAAAAUUUCCAAGUUUUUCUUACAAUUUCCGUGGUUUUUAUUCAAUUUUUAUCGAUAUCAAUAAUAUCCCGAUAUUUCCAUCGAAAUUUUCAUAUUUUUGAACUACCGAUAUUUCCGAUAUCAUCGAUAUUUUAGACAUGGUUGAGAGUGAACCUCCGACCUAAUUGGGACUUGUCAAUGCCAUGUCAUCAUUUUUAACGGAAAAUUUGACAGAGAUGACGACAAGGACGGUUUCUAUAACUGGAGGCAUAAUUAAAGUACGACGGUAACAAUUUAUCAAUGUGAGGGACGAAAAGUAAAGUUGGGGUAUAGUCCAGGGACCAUUGCUACAAUUUUGCCAUAAGUUUUUUAAAAGUUAUUAACUUUUUGGAUACCACCAAAUAUUUGAACACUUUUAAAAAGUCACAACUGAAUACCACCAAACUUUUAAGUACUUUUAACUACUUCUUAAAAGUCACAAUUGAAUACAACUAAACUUUUAAGGAAAGUGGAAUUAAAUACUUGUCUCCUUCCUUAGAAGUAGGAACUCCUACUUUCCUGUUAAUCACAGUUUGCAAUGUGUGUUGACAUUCUUCUUUUUGUGUUUUUGAUGAAUUAUUUUUGGGGUCAAACUUUGAUUUGCAGGCAGUAAGAAUUCCUCCUUUCAGGUAAGGAGGGAAGCAGUGUCCAACUUUUAAAUAUUAUUUAAAAGUCACAGUUGAAUACCUCUAAAUUUUUUAACUCUAUGAAAGUCUUUAAAAAUUAGAAUUGAAUACACCCCAAUAUUAAUAAAAUAACUCGAAAAUAAAAAAUCUAACAUGUGGCUGAAAAUAAUCAAUUAUUGCAAAUAUCGAGUAUCGUUUCAAUCAAAGAGAAUAGUGUAAAAGUUCACAAAAUUUUAAAAGUAACUGUAGCAAAAGUAAAUUUUAAACAACAUUUACAUAUAUAGAUGAAAAGAGCGCGGAUAUCUUUUGUGGGGGCUUUUUUGUUCUAGGAACUACAGAUGGCCCUGGGCUGCUGUAAAGAGCAAAUGGAUGGAGUUGUUCCUAUGUCUAAUUUCAAGAAUUAGGCCCCAAAAGUGCUUCGAAAGGUUCAUGGAGCCUUAGGAAACACCUUGGUUUCCUUCACCAACGAAACCAAAAGUUGCUUACAGAUAAAUACUUUGGCUUGGCUUGAGAAGCUUGUGUCAUGGGAGCUGAGCAUUCAUGAGUUUAGCAUGAGAGAAAGAAAGCCUGGAUUAUCUAUGAGAAACAGAGGUUCAAAGCAAGGGGAAAGAGAGUUUUAGAAGGAUUUGUUAAGGAAAAGAGAGGGAUAUGUGAAGGUGGAAGAAUGGGUGGCUUUAGCAAAUUUCCAGCAGCUUGACGAAAGCUUCAUCAAGCUCUUGGAUGGUUUGCCAGAAGAGAAAAUGGGGAAGAAAUGGAAGAACAUAGCCUGAAAUCAAAGGGUUUCGGAGAUGCUUGCUCUCUCUGGAUGUGGCUGAGAGAGAGGGUUUCGGAGAUGCUUGCUCUCUCUGGAUGUGGCUGAGAGAGAGGGUUUCGGAGAUGCUUGCUCUCUCUGGAUGUGGCUGAGAGAGAGAGAGAGAGAGAGAGAGAGAGAGAGAGAGAGAGAGAGAGAGAGAGAGAGAGAGAGAGAGGAAGAAGAUGGAGAAUGGAAGAAUGGGUCGCUUGAGCAACUCUUUCAGCAGCUUGACGAAAGCUUCAUCACACUCUUUGGUGUUUUGCCAGAAGAGAAAAGGGGAAGAAAUGGAAUCAUAAAGCUUGAAAUUGAAGGGUUCCAGUGGUGAGAGGUGAUGCUUGCUCUCUCUAGAUGUGAUUAUGAAAGAGAGAGGAAAAAGAUUAGGGUGGAAGAAUGGAUGGUUUUAACAAAUUUCCGGUAGCUUGACUAAAGCUUCACUAUUAUACUAUAUAUGGACUCAAAUUAUUAUAUUAAAUUAAAUUAAAUAACCUACAUUAAAUAAACUUUAUAAACACACUCAAAAUCCAUUUACAACAUAACAAAGAGGCUUUGAAAUUCAUUUAAAUUACAAAACUGCCAUCGAUAUCUUAGAGACACUAAUAAAAAGUAUCAUCAGUUGAAUGUCAUUAGAGACUGAUAAUGCAAACAGUCAAUAAAAUACUAUUAGUGACGGAUUAAUAAAUUUUGUUACUAAUUAUUUGAAUAGGUUACCAAAUAAGGCACAGAUAACUAAUAACCAUGCCCAAAAGCCCUCCACCGUGUCAUUGUACCAACAAAACUUGUAAGUACACAUCAUCGUCUACACCCUUCUUUCUUUCUUUUACCCCUCAUAUUUUAGGUGUUUUUUCAGGCAAGCAGAGCUCUCUCUCUCUCUCUCUCUCUCUCUCUCUCUCUCUCUCUCUCAACACUCAUUGAACCACCUCCUCCUCCUCCCCCCCUCCUCUCUCAACCUCUCUAUCUGACUCAGAUCCUACUCAGAUCCUCCGUUCUCUCGGAUCGUUUGUCGUGGCUUCACAGGUUUCAAUUUUUUCGAUAACCUUUAUGACGAUGUCCGUUGGUCUUCGGCAAUUGACACGUCGCUUCUCCAUCUUAUUCUCACAUUGCAGUCUUCCCUCAGCCUCACUCUCACCCUCUCAAUCCCGUUAAUUGCCUCUUGCACCAUCGAAUGACCCCCCCGAAACCCAGACGAAAAACCCCCAAAUUUUACCCAUAAACCAAACUCAGACCGCUGCCUCCUUCGCUCAAAGGCGAAAGGUAUAGUUGUUUCUUUUCUCCUCUUCUUUUUGUAAUUUGAUCUGCAUAUUAUUAUUUCAUAACUUUUGGAAGGUUUGAAGAUUUGCUACAUUUUCCUAAGGUUUGAAUUCCUUGUGUUUUUUUUUUUCUCUCUUUUUUAAGCAGAUUAAUUAAUUAGUUAACACAUUCAUUCAAAUGAAGGAAUGAGGCAGUUUUUGCAACAAAUAAUCUGGUACGAAGAUGCUUCUUUGAGCCUGAGAAUGCAACUAUGUUGGCCAAAACCAAUGAAUAGGAGGGAUUCGCAUAUUAGGCAGGAGUAAGGGUAGCAACACAGUAGUCAUUUACUGUUUAAGCUAAUUUUGAGUUAUUCCCUACUCUUUUACCCAUUUAUCUCUAUGGUAGGUAUUAACUGCAGCAUUAUGAUUAAGUGUCAUCUUCUGCUUUCCUCGAAUUUACUAAUUCAUGACUCUUAUAGAUUCUCCUCAUUUUUGGUACUUCCUUGAGCUUGUGGAUGAAUCUUUCAAAAAUAUCCAUUGCAAUUGUGGUACACAUGGAUGAGGUAAUUCACAAAUUUCAUAUAACAGGGGCACAAGUGCUCUACAUGUCAAUCUUUUGCGAUAUUCCAAAAUGCCUAAACUUUACAAACUACAGCUACAAGCCAUGUGUUUUAAUCCUUCACUGCCAAUCGUUGGUAACAAUAGUUGUUUUGUCAGGUGGGAAGAAUACGUUUUGGGUGAUGUACAUAUGUAUUUUCAUAUAAGAAUGCGACAUAACAUCCUUCUUUAAAUUUAGUUUUGUUUAGAAAACUGUAAAAUUAUAAACUCGAAUUCUGUUGGUACCAUUAGUUUUUACUACAAUUGACAUUAGGUACAAUUUGUCUUACUAUCUUGGAAAAUUUUGGUGUAGAGGAAUGGAAAAGGGCUUGAAGAUGAGCUGCCCCUUGAAGCAAAUGGAGACUACACCAAGUCAAGGAGGAGGAGCUUAAUUAAUGGUACUUUAUGGUUGUUGAUGAGCACAUUUUAUAUCUUAAUUUAUAUUCCUAAAAUAUAUUUAUUUUGAUGACAUUAGGUUAAAUUUGGUGCACUACUACUUGACCAACUGUGGCUUCUAUUUGUUAUUGUUGGUGUUUUUCUUUCUUUCUAAUUUUAUGUCUUUCUUUUUAAGGUACAAUAGACACGCUGGCUGCACACUUAUUUGGUAAUAUGUUGCAGGUAUUUUUCUCUAAAAACAAAUGACUUGGAGAGAUAGUCUAGAGUCCUGAAUCUUUGCAUCAUGAGGAGGAUAUGGUUCAGUGGACAGAAAGUUUUAUAGGCUGAAGCUUUAUAGGCUGUUCUGUUUGAAAACCGCAGCUAGGUUGGUGCAUAUCUGUGUGUUUUUACAUGGGUUAAUCAAAAUGUUAUUUGUUCUUGAAUGCUUAUAUGAUCUUGAUUUAUCAUUGACUAAAAUAACUUCAAGAGAUUAUCUACAUUGAUUCCCAUUUGUUUCUUCAAUGCAAAAUUUAACUGUUAUAUUGUCAUACUCAUUCAAAUCAGAAAGUUACUUCUUUUGUAACAAUGGGUAAAUAAUCCUUUUAUUAUAUGGUAAACUGAUAUGAUAUGUGAUCAUUGUCCUUUCCUUUUUUUCUUUUUUGUCACAUUUUCUGGAUGUCAGGAAGACGACCGCAUAAUCAAGCAAGUUGGGAGACCUGGUGCUAAAAGAUUGUUUGUUCUUGCAAAGUUCUUACCAGGGUGAGUUAUACCGUGAAAACUCACUUCCAGAUCUUGAGAGAACCACUCAAAUGCAUGAUAAUAUGCAAAGUACUUUGGUUUCCAAUUUAUAAGCAUGCUGUUUGUAUUUCAUUUGUAUUGAUAUAUACCUUAGCAUAUUGACCACUUGCAAUACUUGGUCUAUUUUCAGUAUGAAAAUAUCCUGAGGAUAGGUCCAGCACUUGCAACACUUUCUGUGUUUUCAUUAUGAAAAGAUUAAUGGAAUUAUUGUGUAUGGUGUUUUCUCAUUAAUUUCGGAAGUGUUGAAUAUAAGUAUUUCCAUUAGGAAUGUAAUUCAUUUAUUUGUAAAACAACGAAUAUUUGAAAACGAAAAAAAAAAAAAAAAACCAAUGAACGUUUGAGGCACGGACUGAGGUUGGGUUGCUAAUGUUUAAAUAUAUGAAAAAACUUUUAAAAGAAUAUUUUUUACAAAUAAUAUUAAAAAAAAAUACACGAAACAAACAUAAAUAUAUCAAAAUAAUGAAAAUGUUUUUCUAUUUUAGUGGGGACUGAUGAGCAUUCCGUGCCUUUUGAUUAUAUUAGCCACGGAUGUAUUUGGGAUUCAUGCACGGGUAUUGGGUGCUAGGAAUGUGGGACUCAUGGUAAAAAUUAGGCACUGAUUUUUAUAAUCAGUGACAUUUUUCAAUAGAGGACCCCUUUAAAAAUCACUGAUAUAUAUCAGUCCUGUUGUAAAGAAGGAUAAGUAAAGAAGAAUAGAUGAAGCUCACAUAGCAAAUUAACACCCAUCAAACCUAACCACACACCCAUCAAACCAAACCACUACCCAAUUGAUUGAAGAAUAUUAAUGAUGUUGUUGAUUGAAGAAUAUUAAUGAUGUUGUCUACCAAUUAUAUUGUGAGGUGAACAACAAAUGUCUUAGGCCUAUAAAUAGAUACCUCUAUCAAGAGAAGUUUACACACACAUAGAAGAGGAAGAGAAGGAAGAAUGAGGGUGAGUGAGUUGAGAGGAAAGAGAGCAAGAGAGAAAUUCUCCAAGAGAGAAAAUUGAGUGAGCCAUACAUAUUGUAAACACAAAGUUGUAGCCCUAUUAUUUUACAUAGUGGAAAAGUUACUGCUGCUGCUCUCCGGGGAUGUAGGCAUAGCCGAACCUCGUUAAAUACUGUGUCUCAUCUACUUUACGUGCAGCUCAAUAUUCGCACAUAUACCAGUUCAUUUUAUAACACGUUAUCAGCACGAGAAGCUCCCAGGUAUAAUUUUUGUGUUGCACUAUUAUCUAUACUACUAACCCUUAUGUUGAUGUAAGGAAGAAAAGUAGUAGAGGAGCUGUGGUCUGCAAGAGAGAUAUACGAGCAAACCAACUGUGUGCAGAUUACAGGUGGAAAGCGUUUGAUUUAAGAGACAAGCAUGAUGCCUUCCACAAACGAUAAUAAUAUUAUCUGCUAUACUAUUUGAUCGUGGUAUUGAUGAGAACCCACCAAUAAUUGCCUUUUACUUUACCGCAAAUUUACUUUUACUUAAAGUAAUAUAAUAUAUUAUAUUUACUGUAUGGUGUAGGUUUAUUACUCAUACAACAGUAUUUAUUUAAAAGGGUGGUGCGGGUUUAUCGUCCACGUCUUUACUUCUAUUUAAAUGUAUGGAGCAGAAUUAGUGCCCAUACAAGCACCAUUUACUUUACCGCACAUUUAAUUUUAUUUAAAGUAUGAUGCGGGAUUAACGUCCAUACAGCAAACAAUUUAAUUUAUGAAUUUAAUUUACCGCACAUUUACAUUUAUUUAAAAGGGUGGUGCGGGUUUAUCGUCCACGCCUUUACUUUUAUUUAAAUGUAUGGAGCAGAAUUAAUGCCCAUACAAGCACCUUAACUUUAUGAAUUUAAUUUACCGCAUAUUUACAUUUAUUUAAAGUGUGGUGCGGGUUUAUCGUCCAUACCAGUAAUUUAUUUACCAGCAAUCUAUUUAUGGAUUAAAUGUGCUGUAUGAUGAGUUUUUACAAUAUGCAGAUCAGGACCAGAAGUUCCUUGAUCCUCAUCAUACAAUUACAUCAGGACUUGAAGAUCCUUGAUGAUGAUGUUAAUAUGAGAGCUGGCAGUCUCUCCGGUACUAUAUUUGUAAACAUGUGAUUGGACUUGAGGGUCCUUGAUCCCUGACAUGUAAAUUAGGACCUGGGGUUCCUUAAUGAUGUAACAGUACCGUAUUGGUUCAUAAUGCCGUACACAUGGAUGAUAACUGUACCGGCAAAUGUACUGUACACAUGAAUAGAUACGUAUUCAUGGCUUGAUGAAUAGUACCGGAUAUAUGAAUAGUGACGUAUACAUAAAUAUUAACCAUUUUGGGUAAACCAUCACUAUUCAAAAAGGAACCUGCAAUUUCUUAAACUCAUGGAUGAGCAAUUAAAUAAGAUGCCAGAAGUUCCUCAAAAUAUGGACAAUUAUGUAAGGGCUUGAAGUCCAGAAAUAUGUACAGAAAAUUGUAAAAAUGUUCAUACCAUGAGAAUAUGUGAUUUUGGCCCGAAGUUCAAAAUCUAAGGGGAUUGAAUGUCCAUACCAUGAGAAUAUGUGAUUUUGGCCUGAAGUUCAAAAUCUAACAGUGUUGAGAACCUAAAGUUCCAACAAUUAAAUGGACAACCCUUGAGGUAUUAUUGCAAAUUGUGGUACGCCACAUAUUUCUUUGGCAUAAGAGAAUGAUGAAUCGAGGCUCCCCACAUAUUUUGUUAUAUCUGGGCCAGAAGCUCAUGAACUCAAAUAUAUGAGAUAAUAGCGUGGCUUUUACUCAAUCCAUAUUUCAUGUUCAUUUGAAAAGGACAAAUAAAUUCUGAGUUUGUGUUUAGCACAGGCCAAAAGUUCCAUACGUUGAAAUAUGAAAUUUGGGAGAGACGAUGUGGUUAUUUGAACCUAUAAGGCACAAGGUUCCAAACCGUCAUUUUGAAAAGACGUAAAAAACCACAGGUGCAAGUUUAAGAAUGUGCGCAAUUAUUAUAACAGGAACAUACAACAGAUAGAUUUUUUCCUGCAAUGAAGGUGCAGGCCCUGUAAAAUCUAUAAAAAUACAUUAUGUUCUGGAAGCCUCUGAAGGAAGAGGACGACGCCUCUUAAACUUAGCCAUGAGCCUCUCAUGGUCUCCCAAAAUUCUUUCAUUGGAGACCUGCAGCAUGUCUAGCCUUCUCAGUGUAUCAACAGAGUAUGAACUCACAGUUUCAACAAGGCAUUAUUCUCUCCUUUAAGUUUAUCAACCUCCUGUUGAGACUCAUGAAGUAUUCUUUGGAGAGACGAAUUUUCAGUAGCUAACCUCUCAACCUCGUUUGCUCUGGCACGCAAACGAUCAGCCAUGUUAGAAACAGAAACAGCACUCUGAAUGCUAAAAGCCAUUGAGUCAUAAAUAGCCUCUUCCUCUGAUCUCCCUGUCAACAACAUUUCAUCCAUUGGAGUAAUACAAUUCCUAGCUACUAUGACAGCAGUAGCAUCAUUCAUCAUCACAGAAUCAUUAACUGUGAAAUGACGAUUUUGGGAUACAAAGGAUGGACGCCAAACUUGGGCGUCACUGGUUGUUGUGGGAGUAUCAUUUAAAUUGAGAUAAUUUGGGCAGGAAGAAGAGGAAGCCAUUUUUAAGAAGGUUUCGAAGAAAGUCUUAAGAAAACUAAAGUUUCAGAAAAUGAAGGAAGUUGAGUUGAAACGCAGUUGCUCCAAUCAAGUUUUGCAAAGGCAAUAUCUAUAGGAGGAAAUAUGACUACAGUUUUCAGGAUCCCAAUAUUAUCUCAGAUCCCCAUAUUAUCUUUUUUUCUUUCCCAGAUUCCAAAACUUCACGUGGCCUUCAUUAAUGUUUGUCGGCACUUUCGGCGUUUUCAAAGUAUUAUUUUCGUCAAAAGCCGAUCUUGCUUUACGGAUUUCAUGCAGCUACUUUUUCAAAAGUAUCCCGAGAAUCUCGCAAUUUUCCUAUGGUUAAUUUGAAAUUUUCCGGUUCUACCUAUUCCUCUUAUUUGUGUAUAAAUGUGUUACUAACGAAAUUUUCUUUGCAGAAGACAUCCAGUUUUUCUCCAUACCUAUUGAUGCGAUAUCUACUUGUUUUUCUUAUCAGUGAGCACUUAAUAUGCCCGAGAAGCAAGACUAUCUCUGAUCAUCCAUUCAGGAAGCGAGACUAUCCCUGAUCACGUUUCCGCCACAUCAGGGAACUGUGAAGGCAACCUUAUGCUCUAAUCUCCGGAAGUUCUUCUGGACUAGAAGAAAUGAGAGCUUGUUGUUUGCUCCCACCAGCUUCCUUCCUUGAUUGCUGAGCUUGUUGUCUGCUCCCACCAGCUUCCUUCCUUGAUUGCUUACCUUCUCUUGCAAUCAAUAUCACAUUUUUUUUGCAUUUUUUUUCUCUUUUUGUAACUCUCUGAGGAUUAUUUGUUUUUGACAGAGAAAAGAGUUGUGAUUUUGCUCUUGCAGGAUAUAACUAGAUCAUCAAGCACUACAUUUACUGGGCCGAUACAAGCUUGAAUGAUACUUGAGAAAAGUUUCUCCCACCUAAGGACGUAAGCAAUACUUGUGUUAUUUUAUGCUUAUAUACUUAUUUGAUAUUUUAUCCGUUCCAAUAGAAUGGCUUGUAUGUAUCCACGAAUUAUUAAUGCAAAUUUUACAGAUUGCAAGUUGGAUACAUUGAUAAUACACUGCACAGAUUAAAGUCCCAUAAGAACAGAAUAUGGGUAUAGCAGUGAUCAAUAUGAUGCACGCCUGUUGCGUAGCAAAUGAUGUGGAUUGAAGUCCCGAAAGGACAAUCCUUUGACAUGUCAAUAUUGAUAUUAUGCACGCCUAAUGCGUAGCAAAUUAUAUGGGUUAAAGUCCCAUAAUAUGGGUUAAAGUCCCAGAAAUUAAUUGACAUGUAUGUAUUAAUCUGUUGCAUGCCUGCAGCAUGACAGAUAUAUGGGUGCACGCCUGUUGCGUAGCAAAUGAUAUGGAUUGAAGUCCCAAAAGGACAAUCCUUUGACAUGUCAAUAUUGAUAUUAUGCACGCCUAAUGCGUAGCAAAUUAUAUGGGUUAAAGUCCCAUAAUAUGGGUUAAAGUCCCAGAAAUUAAUUGACAUGUAUGUAUUAAUCUGUUGCAUGCCUGCAGCAUGACAGAUAUAUGGGUGCACGCCUGUUGCGUAGCAAAUGAUAUGGAUUGAAGUCCCGAAAGGACAAUCCUUUGACAUGUCAAUAUUGAUAUUAUGCACGCCUAAUGCGUAGCAAAUUAUAUGGGUUAAAGUCCCAUAAUAUGGGUUAAAGUCCCAGAAAUUAAUUGACAUGUAUGUAUUAAUCUGUGGUAUGCCUGCAGCAUGACAGAUAUAUGGGUUCUAAAUGUUCCAACUCUCUAAAUAGAGAUUUUCCACGCCCUAUGUAAAAUAACGCUCCAAUGGAGGUUAUAAUCCACAUUCUCACAUAAUAAAAGCCUCAUGAAAUGGCUUGGGUACCCAAAAGCAAAGAAAUGCUUAUAAUUGAUGCAUACGCAUGCACAUGAGAAUUGUGAGAUUAUGAAUUGAUGAAUGACAAUUUUUGAUUUUGGAGUAGCUACUCAAAUCAUCAAUGGGCUGUGUUGAUUGGAACCACGUUCAAUUAUUAAAUGUCGACAAUAUCAUUGACCAAAAUGGAAUGAGGUAAUUCCAUUAUAGAUGAGAAUGAACGUGAAAGAACAAACCCACAGUACGAACCCCAAAAGAUGUUAAUACUGAAAUUUAUACUUGGGUGUUCGGAAUAAAAGGGAAUAUACCUACUUUGUAUGACACACUGUUUCUGGCAGAAACAAGGAAUGUUGGGUUUUCUCCAUAUUUACAGAUUCAAUUGUGCCCCCUCUUAUUACACAAUUACGGAGACCAACAUAUUAUCUUUAAGGGUUAUUAAAUGCACGGAGCAUAUCGCCAGAAGCGAUUUCCUAAAGAUAUAUAAAUAGCUGGGUAAAAGCUAUAUAAUGUGUCAUAAAGUUUAAACCCUUUUUAGACAAAAUCCGUUGAGAGGAUUGACAUUGCAUAAAGCAAGUCCCUAAAGGACAUGUGCUUGAAGCACAAAAUUUGUACUCAAUAUUAAUAUACAUAAAUUACCUCAGUGAGUACAUUGAUUAUAAUGUGAUUGCAACACAUUAAAGCUUCUGCAGAGUUCAAGAAAUAUUUGUCUCGACUUAAGGAUCGAGUAUUAUGCCAACGAGAUUCUUGCUUAUACUAAGAAAGUAUUGAAGCAUUUUUAUGAGGAUUAUCCGUUGGACACUUUAAUGAUUUUCCGGAAGUAUAUUGGACCGGACAUCAUAUUUUCCAGAUAGGGCUCAACUCCAUCACCAUCAUUUUGGGAUGAUGUGAGGUAUAUUUGAUGCUAUCUCCGCAUAACACCAUGUACGGGCAUAUUCUUUCAAGUGAACUUACAAAUAGCCCAAGUUUUGUUAGAAACGCGGACUCUGAAAAUUUCUAUGAUUUACAUAGAGAUAGCUCACUGGAAAUAUAUUUACUUACUCAACUACGAGAAUUAUUAAUGGCUAUAUCCUCCACUCACUCCGAAAGAUUCUCACUCCAAAAGAUAGUCAUGAAGACAUCAGGGGGAGAUAUUAAUCAGGGGGAGCAUCCAGAAGUAUGCUAUACAGAUUGCUGUACUCUUUUUUCUUCCUUCCAUCAGUUUUCUACCUCACUGGGUUUUUCUCCAAGCAAGGUUUUAAUGAGGCAACCAAUCUAGGGACAUGUGGUCUCCAAGGGGGAGUGUUGUAAAGAAGGAUAAGUAAAGAAAAAUAGGUGAAGCCCACAUAGCCAACUAACACCCACCAAACCUAACCACACACCCACCAAACCAAACCACUACCCAAUUGAUUGAAGAAUAUUAAUGAUGUUGUUGAUUGAAGAAUAUUAAUGAUGUUGUUGAUUGAAGAAUAUUAAUGAUGUUGUCUACCAAUUAUAUUGUGAGGUGAACAACAAAUGUCUUAGGCCUAUAAAUAGAUACCUCUAUCAAGAGAAGUUUACACACACAUAGAAGAGGAAGAGAAGGAAGAAUGAGGGUGAGUGAGUUGAGAGGAAAGAGAGCAAGAGAGAAAUUCUCCAAGAGAGAAAAUUGAGUGAGCCAUACAUAUUGUAAACACAAAGUUGUAGCCCUAUUAUUUUACAUAGUGGAAAAGUUACUGCUGCUGCUCUCCGGGGAUGUAGGCAUAGCCGAACCUCGUUAAAUACUGUGUCUCAUCUACUUUACGUGCAGCUCAAUAUUCGCACAUAUACCAGUUCAUUUUAUAACAAGUCCUUAAUUCUACAAUAUGCACUCUUUCAAGUCCCUAAAGAAGUCAAAAGGGAUCGAUAGCAUUCAGUCUCUUUUGAGUCUUUUUUAGUAGUAACUUUAUAGGACAUCAAAGUAAUUUAAUAAUCAAAAUUAAAUUCAAUAGGGCCAACUAUUAUUUUUGGGUUUUUUUUUUGUUUAUAGAAAUUAGAUAGUGUAGGGUUUAUCUAUAUCAUUUGUGCUAAAAAUGGGUAUAUUUUUCUUUAGUUCUGUUGUUAAUGGUGGGUAAGUUGGAUGUAGAACUUAAAGUUUUGGGUGGAUUGUUCUACCUCCUUAGGGAUACAAUCCUAUCCAAUAUUCUCUUACCUGGUUGAGUCUGAUGCAAAACUCUUAUGGAUCUUUAUCAUCGCGAUCAUGUCGAAGGUUAUUUGGCAUAUUUACCAGCUUGAUUCAUCACGAAAAGAUUGGACUAGAGUUAAAACUUUGGGGAAGAGAGUAUUGUAAAUUAAAACUUUGGACUAGAUUUUAUUCUUUCAAUAGCAUAGUAAACGUAAAUUGAACCUUCUGAAUUUUUAUAUGAUCAUAUUCAGUCUAUUUUAUUUUUUUUCAGAAAUUCUGGAAUUGUAUUCAUAAUUCAGCCAAAAUAGACACUAGAAAGUUAACCAAGGAAUGGGAGUUAGUGGUGGUUCUACAAUUUGGGUAUCCAACAUAUUUAAUGUUUAAUUUUUUUGAUGCAGAUGAGUAUAACUGUUAUUUUCUUAAAAAAUAAAAACCCAAAUUUUAAGAGGUAUCAAAACUUUUUCGUUGUUGGUUUUUCAUUGCCCACUCAAAAAAAAUCAGCAAAAAAACAUCGCACCUUAUCCAAACGAUCUGAGAACUUGCAGCCAUGUACACUCCUCAACCAAAAUUGAUUAAUUAAUUAUCAAUUAUAUGGUCAUAGUCAAUUUUUAAGUUGAUUCGUAUUGUACUCUCAAUUUUGUGGGCAAAUAUUACUUAAUUAUGCAUGCUAUUUACUGAUUUAAUUCUUUUCAUUUCUUUGUAUUUGUUGGAAUGAAAAGAUUUAUAGGAGUAUAUAACAUAGUUAAGCCAAAUUGCGUGUACUUGUUGAAUUGAUUUGUCAAUUGUGUUUGACAAUUACAAGAUGCAUUGGCAAUUACUCUACUUUAACAAAAGUAAAGAGGAUCCUCUUUUCGAAUUCAUGCAUAUUUAUUGGUGCUUUGACAUAAUACAAUAUUCAUAAGAAAUGAUAUACAAUAUGAAAAUAGAUAAACUUUUGGAAUGGAACCUUCAAGCACGUCGCUGUGUGAUUUUCACAAUUCUACGCCAUCACUUUUUGCCGGCUACUUUCACAAGCCAAUCGGGUGUUCUGUUAGAGAGUACAAGAUAUCCCACAGAUAUUCCAAUUACCACCCCAGAUGCAUACCCCAUCAACAAUACCUUCCAAUUAAAUCCAUUCUCGUGCUCCAAAUCACCAUCUUGUGGCGGUGAUUGAUGUGGACCACAUGUUUUUGCUAGUGGAAUUCCACACAAUCCUACAUUUCCACUAUAUGAAUCAUUUUCAAAUGUAUCAAAUUGCUUACCCUGAGGUAUGGACCCCACAAGUCGAUUUUCUGAAACGUUGAACUUUUCAAGAUAUGUCAAACUUGUCAAUUGCAUCGGAAUAUCACCAACAAGUCUGUUUGAAGAGAGAUCUAACCAUUCAAGAUUGCUCAAACCCCCAAACGAGGGUGGAAUUGUACCUGUAAGCUCAUUAUGAGAAAAGUUAAGCCCCUUCAAUGAUUUAAGCUUACCGAUUACGUUUGGAAUUUCUCCUCUGAAAGUGUUAUUUGAGAAAUCAAUAGUAGUGAAGACAGUUAGGAUCUUCUCCAUUUCAAUUACAUUGCCUUUAAUUGCCACUGCCACAGUAUCCUGAUAGUAGCGCCCUCCCAUAUAUUUCAAUCCAUGUUCUUGCGAGUUUAUCAUGGCCAUCAAAUUUUCAAAAUAUUUUGUUGGCAAGAGACCGCUAAACCGAUUGUUGGAGAGGUCUAUGAUAUGCAAUUUUUGGAAUGGAAACUUAGUUUUUGGAAAGCAUAUUUCACCAGAGAAUUUGUUAGACCUCAAGAUAAGAACCUGCAACUUCGGAAGAGAUUCCAGCCAAUUUGGAAAUGUGUCUUCAAUUUUGUUGUUUCCAAGGUCUAGAACUUCCAACUCUCUACAUGUGAGCAAAGAUUGCGGCAACGACCCUUCCAACUGAUUUCCAUUAAGAUCAAGAUUUCUCAAAACGUUUCCCUCGGAAAAUGUGUCAGGAAUCACACCAUGAAAUUGAUUAUUCCGUAGAUUCAAAACAGAGAGGCUCUGACUGAAAUUCUCUAUGCAUUGAUGAAUUUUGCCACUCAAUUUAUUAUUAGACAAAUCAAGGAUUUGAAGGCUACUCAGGCUGCAGAUCGUUGGAGGUAUCUCUCCAGUAAAUUGAUUAUUUGAUAUGAAAAUGUAAGAAGUGGAAGGUGAUGGAAUUGGAAGCUCUCCUUGGAGAGAAUUGUUGCGAAGGUCAAGAUAGUAAAGAUUUUUCCACCGAAGCGGUCCUACAGUGCCAUUCAAAGAGUUGUGAGAAAGAUCCAAAUAACCCAAUGAAUCUUUCCCCAAAUCCAACAACCAUUUGGGAAUGUUGGCUUGGAUUCGGUUGUGGGAAAGGGAUAAUGUGUGCAAAUUUGGUGCGGCCCUUAGAAAGUAUGGGAACUCACUUAUGUUACAAGACGACAACUCUAGUAACUCAAGUUGAGGCCAGGUGUUGUUUCUCAAAUGGUUGAAGCUCAAGGAUAGAUGAUUAAAGGAAAGAUUAAGCCACCUGAGACUUUGGAGUUUGGAAAACUUUUCAAACUCCACAGUGCCACUCAAGUUAUUGGAUGAUAGACCAAGGUACUGAAGAUUCUCAAGUUCAUAGAUUGAUCUUGGAAUCAGGCCAUCCAGCUUGUUAUUCCUUAAAUCAAGCCAUGACAAAGAACGAGAUUGGAACUCAAUGAUAUUACCGCUGAGUUGGUUACUUCUGAGGUUUAAGUACUCCAAUGAUGGCAAACUACCUAACCAAGAUGGUAUUGUUCCGUUGAGUUGGUUCCCAUCUAAAAAAAGGGUGAUUAACUGUCGAGGAAUAUGACCCACAAGUUGUUGUUUUGAAAAAUCAUAUAAAGAAGAGUUCGAUGUCGAGUUGCUAUACACUUCUGGAAACUGACCGACAUAGUUAUUGCCACCGAGAUUUAAGGAAACAAGGCUCUCAAGGUUUAAAAAGAACGACCAUGGGAUUUGGACACCAAAAUUGUUAGACGAGAGGUCCAACCGCAUGAUUUGUGUGAGGUUACCAAGAAAUGCAAGAUAUGAUCCUACAAAACUGCAAUUGCUGAGAGACAAAUUUCUCAAAGACUUGAAAUUUCUUGUCAGAUGAUGCCAAUCUACUGAGAUUCUUGUAUGAGAGAGAUCCAGCAUCUCAAGGGGACUGCUCCAGUUAGACUCGGGGAAAUAACCUGUGAGGUUAUAGUUGUAGCCUAAAUCUAAGAGUCGAAGAUUUGGUCGGUGGAAAAUGCUUUCUGGGAAUUUUCCUUGCAAGUUGCACAAGGGAAGUUCAAGAGUUUCCAAAGAAGAAGACAGAUUUUUGAAUGAAUCCGGUAUAACUGAUGACAUAUCAACUUCGUUUAGAACAAGCUCCCUAAGAUUAGUCAGGUUUUGAACAAUUCUGUUAAAAUUAAGAGUAUCUAGUCUCAUAUUUGAAAGUGGAUCUUGCGAGAGAUUGAGUGAAACCAAGGUGGAAAGGUGGGAAAUUUCGGAAGGGAUUGGGCCACUGAAAUUGGAGUAAGAGAGGUCAAGGUGAGUCAUACUUACAAAGCCACCAAAUUUGGACGAAAUUGGGGAACCUCUGAAAUCAUUAAAAGAGAGGUCUAGCCUCUUGAGAUGGCCGAGAGAGAAUAAGCUGCUAUUGGAAUGGAUAUUGCCUUGAAGCCCACCAUAACCGAGGUUGAGACCGAUCACAUGACCAGUCAUCUUUUCACAAGUGACUCCACUCCAUGCGCAACAAUCCUUGCCUUUCUGCCAAGAAAUUGCCAAAUUAGAAUAGGAGUAAAGAGAAAAGGAGUUUUUGAAUUGAAGCAAAGCAGAGUUGUCUUCGGGAUGGCAUAAAUGCUUUGAAGAAAGAGAAGAGGAAGAGUUUGAUGAUGAACAAGUAGUAGAGAGCAGGAAGAGGAGGCACAACCAUGACAACCAACCCAUCUUUCUUUAAAAAUCUAAAGUAUAUAGUGAUUGUGAGCAAUUCUAUACUGGAUAUGUUGAUAUUUAUAACAAGCUUAAUGAAUAGUAAUUUAUCAUCUUUAAAGAUAAUCAAGUAUCAUUGUGCCCAUUGUAAUGAUUGGGUGUCCUCUUCACAUAGUUGGUCCUAUUGUCACACCGGUGUAGGUCCCAAUUUGAAGUGCUGAUAAUUGACAUUGAGGGUGAAGGCCUUUUUUUUUUUUUUUUUGGUAAUAUGUUCAUGGAAUUGGAAAAAAUUUGCACCAAGUCUUUGAUUUGUGGCCGGUUUUGGUGAAGUUUGACAAUAAGGUUGUCCCAUUGUCACACAGGUGUAGGUCCCAUUGUUAGCUGCUACAUCAAUUUGAAUUGUUGAUAAUUGACAUUAUUGAGGAUGAAGGCCUAGUCUAUUCAUCUAUUUGGAAAAUUUUUGCCCUAAGUCUUCGAUAUUUGGUUGUUUUUCGUCUUAGUAUGUAACAUUUUUGCGUGUUAAAAUGGGCACCUUAAUUUUCAUUGACUUGCUAAUCUGGGUUUAUAAUUGACCAUCAAAAUCGUUCUUGUCUUCACUAGUAGUCACUAGUGACUUUUGCCCCCUUCUUCACGCUCUCACUAAUUCUUAUCAUCUGCUUCUCCAUGGUUUUGCUUGUCUUUUCACAUAGUUGGGUGUCCUGCAACAUGUACUAAUCAAGUGGUCCAAAUAUGAUUCGAAUUUGCGUAUUGAAGAAGCCGGACCGAGUAUUCAUAAAUCGACCAUCAAAAUCGUUCUUGACUUUUGCCCCUUUAUUCACGCUCUCAUUAAUUCUUCAUGAUUUUACUUGUCUUUGCACUUUCUGUCUCCACUCUUAAGCAUUUGAUAGGCCUUAGGCCUUUAGUCCAAUCUCUAAAUGAACAUUCAGAACAAAUUCAUAAACAAAAAUUUCUUUUAAAUUUUCAUUUAUGAAAAUCCAUUAUAUUCCUCUAGGGCUAAAGAAAAGAAAGGAGUUAAUAAAUAAAGUCAUCAAUAUAAAAAUUAAAACAAUCUUUUAGAUAAAAUCUAAAUAAUAUAGUAAUUAAAUCCUAUAUAAAGCUAGCUACUACAACCUCUCGGCCACAGUUUCUUUGAAUCUUACUCAAUCUUUCACAUUUUCUUUGAUGGUCUCUCUCACAUUAACAUGCUAGAGUUUCUUGUGCCUUUCAUUCAUCAGCUGCCAAAUUCCUAAACAUGUAUAAUUACUAACUUCGAAGAAGAAAUUACAGCACUAAAACAUGUUAAUGUUACAUUAAUUUCAUUACCUCAUUGAACGUUUCCGCAACGUUGUUUGCCAUGAGGUAUGGACCCUACAAGUUGGUUUUCCGCAACGUUAAAUUUUCAGGUGUUGUCAAAUCUGUCAAUUGCCCAGAAAUCUCACCAACAAGCAUGUUUGAAGAGAGAUCUAACCAUUCAAGAUUGCUAAGAUUGCCGAAUGAGGGUGGAAUUGGACCUGUAAGAUCAUUAUGAGACAAGUUAAGUCCCUUCAAUGACGUUUUAGGAAGGUCCAGAGAAAGUUGUUCUACUUCUUUUUGGAUUCGAGUAUUUAUUAACCUUAGUUGUAUAGUUAGGAGUUCAUUAUUAAAGAAAUAUAUACAACAAUUAAUUUGUGUAAGUACCAUGUAAUUUGAAUUUGGAAAGAGUUGGCAAAGCCUACAGCAUAAGAGGAGCAAGGGAAAACAUGAGUCUCAAUAUGGUGACCUCAAAGUAAUCUUCAUUUUAACAUGAGUCUCAAUAUGUCGGCAGACAUUAUACUUGGUGCGUUGGUGAUUGAAUAAUGUUUUGCAUAUUAUUCUUUCUCUUCUUUGGCUAUUUAAUCAGGCAAGUAGGGCAUGAGAAAAGGUGGAACAACUUCAACGUUAUUACUUCCACAUGAAGUGUUUAUCACUCUAGCGUGGGAUUGGGGCAGGGGAGAAAGGGGUAGAGAGAGAUGUCUCUUUUUUCUCUCUUUUAUUUUCUUAAAAAUGAAAAGACUAAAAUACCCUUUAAAAUGGAUGAAAAAUUGAAUUUUGUAAAAUAAAGGUGACAUUUCUCUUAAAUUUUUCUUUAAGAUGACAAAUUGAAACUGAGGUACAAGUUCAGAUGACAUUUCUACAAAAAAAAUCACUAAUGCUAAUCACUAUUAAGAAUUGUGCAAUCACAAAAUAAUUUAAGAAUCAUCUAUUAUAUACAUCAAUUAACAAUUAUAAAAUAGAACUAAUGCUUAUUUACUGUAGUGCCCCCUGAAGCAUAUACGAAGCCAUGUUUGGGGCUUGGAUAAGAAAUAACUUCUGCUAAAAUAAAUAAAUAAUAAUAAUAAAUAAAAAAACCCAAUAGCGAACUCCCACCCACACCCAAUCCGUCAACAACCCCACCCUGAUCACAUAGCCCCCUCUUCUGCUCGUCGUCGGAAACUCUCUUUCUCCCCCUUGAUUUUAGAUCAAGAUCUAUAUUCUUCCCCUGCUCUUCUUCUUUGAAAGAGAGGGAGAUCGAGAAGGAAGCAGAGAAAUCAAGGGAGAGAGAGAGAGGAAGAGACAAAGAAGGGGGACAGAGGUAGAGAAAAGGAGGCUUUGCCGGCGGUGAGAAUGAGAGGGGUUUGCUGUUGGCUCGAUAGGGUGGGUGGGAGUUUUGGUGGCCGUCUGGUUUGGGGUGGUGGGAGGGAGUUUGCUCAUGGGUCUUUAUUUUUUUUCCUUCGGUUAUUUUUAAUUAUUAGAAUAUUGUUAUAAAAAUAACCUGGAAUAUGUAUGAAUAUUGAGCUGCACGUAAAGUAGAUGAGACACAGCAUUUAACGAGGUUCGGCUAUGCCUACGUCCUCGGAGAGCAGCAGCAGUAACUUUUUCACUAUAUAAAAUAAUAGGGCUACAACUUUAGAGUUUACAAUAUGUGUGGCUCACUAAUUUUUCUCUCUUGGAGAAAUUUCUCUCCACUCUAUUUUUCUCUCUACUUACUCACCCUCUUUCUUUCCUUCUCUUCCUUUCUUUCUUUCCUCACUCAUUCUUCUCUUCAUUUUGGUGUGUAUUACAAGUGAAUGAGCAAGCCUAUUUAUAGGCUAAGGUUUUGGUAAAAUACAGGGAAGGGAAGGUUCCUGGAAGAUGCAAGGAAACUUCCUGAAUUGAUAAAUACAGGGAAGGAAAGUUCCUGGAAGAUGCAAGGAAACUUCCUCUGUGGGCUCCACCUUCAAACUUUUACAACAAAUAUUUAAUUAUAUGUUUUAUCUAUGGAGUCAACUUACCAUGUCACCCACUCAAUUAGUUUAAUAAUUUAUGUGUAUAAAAUUACAAAAACACUCAUGCCACGUCAUCAGAUUUAACAGAGUUUUGAAUAGAGUUAGCGGCAGGGCAAAGUAGGUCACCAGACUUUGGUCAAAGGAUAAAAGUGGGUCAUUUUAACUUUAAAGAGGUAAAGUGAAAUUUGACCAAAGUUUUAAGGGACGAUACAGUAAAUAAGCCUUUAUUUUACCUCCGCCUUUACAAUCUUUCUUCUCAUGCGCUUCUGUACGGCUUUGGUUAUCUUUCCACUAUCUGCCCCUACCCUUGAGCAUUUGGUAGGCCUUAGUCCUUUAGUCCAAUCUGUAAACGAACUUUCAGAGAAAAUUCAUAAACGAAAAACAUAAAGAAAAAAAAGAAGGUACCAACUUUUCUUUGUAGUAAAAGAUGGAACAACUGCAACAUUAUGAAUGGCAAUAAAAAAGAAGGUAAAGGGUAUUCGAUCGAUUCACCAGAUUCCAUUUGAUCCAUAAAAUGAUGGGAAACCUGCUACAACAGUACUUUUCUAUGUUUCUUCUUUUUGUUUUUUGUUGGUACAGUACAACGUUUCCCAGACUACAUAGAAUCACAACAUUGGCCUUUUAAUAAUCCAACGUUACUUAUACUUACUUGACGGACCAUGAAACAAUAAGUGAAUACAAAGGUAUUACACUGCAAUGAAAUUGGGACUAUAUCUAUGUUAUCUGUAUUCUUGAAAGUUGACAUGCCCUGCGCUCGUGCAUGCUCCACAGCCUCAUGGUAUUAGGGCAUAAUUUUGGUAUACCUGAGCUAUACGAGUAGUAGGAGCACAAAAUGGAACCAAGAGCGACGAAACACAUAUUACCUCAAGCAUUUUGAUAACAUAGUAGGCAAAACAUGGGAAAAAAGUUCAAACAAAAUUAAUCUUUUUAUCCCCUUUUUUUCUAUUGGAUAGGCAUUGAUUGAAAACUUUACAUACAGACUAAACACAUUAGAAAUGUCCUAUAGUUCUCAAUCAUCUCAAGUCGAGAACAAAUUUAUUUUGAAAUUCAUACACCAGAUUUUGCAUGCACGGAGUAAUAAGCGUGCACUGUUAGUACUAUUCAGGUUCAACAACUAGGAUGCCCUCAGUACAUAGAGAUCUGGAAAAAAAUUUCAAGACAGUGUACUAGAACUUAAAAAUAUAUUGUCUCUUCAACUUGUAUAGGUUUGUAAACUAGGUUGGUCGAUGUAUAGUGAACUAGAAAACUUCUGCACACUGAACUACAUGUUUAGAGUGGAAGUAUCAGAAAUAAUCCCCUAAAUCACAUGCUCUGUAUUUUUAUCAUCUCAACAUGCUAAUUCCAGACUAAAAGCCCAAGGAACAUUUAAUGUUUUCACAUAUUAUGUGUAGUAGUGUUUGUAUGUGCACUAUGGAUAGAAGCCACCAUGAAACCAUAAGCACUACCUUUGUUCCUUUUUCACAAGAUUAAGAGCGAGCCCCUCAACCGGCCCAAUGGCACUGUCCUUAACUGCAAAUAUAGUCUGAUCAAACUCCUCUGGAGCUCCUCAAAGGGUGACAUCUGAGACAAUAUGAUGCAGAAACCAAUGACCAUUAACUGGGAAAAUUGAACCUCAAUCAGAAACAGAGGAGAGCAAAUGUCCAGAAAUAAAAUAGCUUAAAUAUCAGUAACUAUCUUUGUUUUAACAUAUAUUGAAAAUUAAUUCACAUCAAUUAUAAAUCAUGAAAAAGUACAACUCGAAAAGAGCAAAAGCCAAGACCUACGAGGCAAAGUCUCUCAGCACAUAGGUAAAGAGAGCAUGGGAAAAAGGAAAGAUUCAAUAGCCAUUGAGCAGUCUGUGUUGUUGUGAAAGAGAUUAACAUUAGAUUUGUUAGGGAGAUACAGAGGUGUGGCUCUCAGGCGAUUUGAGUCCUAUGUGCUUACAUGUUUGGCGUUAAAAACUCAAAAAACAUAGGAGAACUUGGUUGGGUGUUGAAAAUUGGGAUUUAUUUAAGGGCAUUUUGGAAAAACAAGGAAACCACAUAUUUCCAAAAAAUUGGCCCUACUUGAGGCCAUAGUGAAGCCACUUCUUAAUUAUCCGUCCACACUGAUAACCAGUAAAAUUCAUAAACAGAAAAUUAACAUAAAUCAUCAGAACCACAUACAGCUAAAGCAUCGUAAUGAAGCCCAUCAUAGAUCAGCAGAGCUCUUGUCAAAAGUACCCCAUACGAAAAUGGGCAUAAACAUUCUGAAAUGGAACUGACAAGAUUAAUAUACAUGAGAACUCACUACUAAUGCUAUUUCUUGAACAGUCAAUCUUAUAGACAAGUGGCUACACAAACUAUUUCUUGAACAGUAAAGGUGCAAAAAGUUUGUCAAAUAUAUCAACAAUGUGCAAUACUGUCAAAGAAGACAUAAGUCAGUAUUGUAUAAUUAAGGUUCGGAUACUUAGUUGGCUAUCAGAAAUAACCAAAAUUUUCACAAGAAAAGCUUUUCAUUGUGCAUUUUGUUUCAUAACCAAUAUUCAUAUACGUAGGAAAAGGAAAGUUUAUUUAUUUUUAACAAACCUCCCCACUUCUCAGAGUCAAGAAUCCAAGAACAAUACUCUUCAUUUGGUUUACCGAGAAAUGCUUCAGAAUACUUAGUUGGAUCACUUGCUACUGUUGCUGCUAUAACCUUCACAUCAUGGAUGACCACAAAAUGAUCAGGAAGUAAGUAUCGCACUUAUGCAUGCUUAAUACAAACAUGGAGCUAUAUAUGCACAAAAACUGACCUUAAAUGACUGGUGUACUUAUAAUCCCUGAAUGUCCAUAUACCUGUCUCAACUCAGGAGCUUUUUUCUUGUCAUGGUCGAUAGCAUACCUACAAAUGAAGGGUGACUAUUGAAUAGAAAAAUUGGCCUUAAAUGACGCAGCUCAGUUCAUUGCAAUAGACAAUGGAUAGAAUAGAAGGUUGUAUUGGAGCUUACCCAACCGCAUUGAAGAGGCAACUAUUGUCUGAGGGAAUAGCCCUUCUUACUACAAUACCUUCCAUAUUAUAAAUAUUUAUACCUGAAACAUUUUAACAAUUUGAAUGUUUCAAACGAUGAUGGUUUUAUAAUAGACAAGCACAAGCCAAAGAGCUGAGAGAAGGAAACACAUGAAUAUUUAAUUCAAAAAUAUGGACCCAAAAAGCAUUGAACUGCAUAGAAGUGGUUUGUGUGAAGAAGGAACCUUUUGUGAUUACAAUGGAAAGGAGAACAAAGAUUAUUAAGAUACAAAAAAAGAUAGGAGUCCAAUCAAAAGUAAACAUCUACAGAUAAAGAAAAGAAUUACACAUAAAAACUUCCUUAAGACUGAAUCCUAAAGUUACAGAAGUAUGAGACAAUACGAAAAGAAGGCUGAGGACUCAAACAAAACCCAACAUCACAGACUCAGCAGCAGAGCCAAAUACCAACCAGAACCAGAUUCAGUUACUGGUAGCAGCAGGCCAUGAUUGAAAACAUUCAAAGAAAAGGAACAAAUAUAAUAUAGUGUACAGAAAUGAAAUUUUACAAAUUUUUAUCAGGAAUGAAUCUGAAAUUAAUGAAAAAAAAAGGAACUUUAAAGAAUCCGUACUCUUAUCAGUUCUUUAAGGUGCCAAUAAAUGAACCUAAUAUGUCAAAAGCCUACCCAGAAAACCACCCAGUAAUGUGCACCCAUAAACAAAACACAUUAUCGAAAUAAAUCCUCAAAUAAUUCCACAAAGGAAACCAAACUUCAGACUUAGAAACCCAAUACCAAAGCUAUAAAACAAACCCAGAGCUGAAUUUGAAACCACCCAAAAGCAUAAAUUGAAAAAGAUGACAAAUAAAUAAUGUGGCAAUGAAAUUUCCAGAUCCAGUAAAAGUAUUCGUACCACGAGCAGCAUAUUCAAAUAGACAUGAUACAAUUUGGAAGAGAAGAGGAAAACAGAUAAGAAAAAGAACUCACUCUGUUUCUUCCUUUAUGGUCUAUAAGGUAAUGUUAGUUGAGCAAAAACUUUGACGAGGAGGUGGUGGUCGCCUGCCUGGUUUUGGCUAUCGCUUCUGUGUUUGGAUGUCGUCUUCCUUUUCUUUUUUUUCCCUUCUUUUUAUCAUUGGGGAGGGUGGAGUUACAAGUUCAAGCAUUAAUGUGGGGUCCAUGGUCUAUCUUGUGUUACGGCUUUCUGCAACUUUCUCUGUUACACUCGAUCCUCUCGGCAGUGUCUUUCACCCAAUCAUUCUAUUUACGAUAACGUAUCAUGUUAUGGGUGAUUAGAUUAUUACAAUGACUAAAAUUAAGUAAAAUACGAGAAAAUGUGUAGAUUACGUUAGAUUAUUAUUAUGACUAAAAUUAAGCGAAAUACAAGAAAAUAAAUAGAUUAUAAAUAUAGAGGAUCGGGAUCAAUGUCACAUUGGUUCUUCUGUUUGACCUCUUUGGAAAAUUUAGUUCGUGUUUUUCAAUUUACUUAUUGUAUUUAUAGUUUUUUUUUAUUGAUUUAAAAAAUAUUCAUUAACCUGUAAUAGAAAAGUUAACAGAAAAUUAUAAAAUAAAAAAAGAACAUAAUUAAUUAAAAAGUAUUAAAAAGUAAAAGGGAGUGUAAGUAGAGAGAAAAUGAGUGGGAAAAUCAACUCCCAAUAUAUACAACUAAUAAAAUACUUUUGACAUUUUACCCCAUACCCAGUACAAAUAUACAUUUAAUUAAGAGUGCUGCUAUUUUCACCAUUUUUUUCUAUUUCCUUAGAAAUUAUUGUAAAAUUUCUCCAAUUUCCCCACCCACAUCACCUUUCCACCCACCAUGUAACUUUGAAAAAAUACAAUCUUAUAUUUCCACCCACCAUUAUUCCUAAAAUACCUUUUAAUUAUUAAUUCAAACAAAUUCUCUUUCAUUUGAUUUUUCUCAUAAUUAAAACAUGGGAGUUAUAUUUUCUUUACGUUCUAUUCUUUUGAUUGAUUUUUCUUGUGUGUUUUGUCACUGUAGAGUGAAUUUUUUUUUUUCCUGUAUUCAUUUAACUGUCGAAUAAUUUUUUUAGUGGUUGGGUUUGUUUAAGUUGAGUUUGAUUAUAGGUUUAAAUGAUGCAAAAUCAAAAUAACUUGUUACAAUAAUAGGUACAUGUGUGAACCGAAGUGUCUAUGGUUGUUCUAUAUUGUCUUGUUCAUAUUUGCGGGAUUGAACAUUAGGGAUUGCCAAGAACUGUUAAUCAUAUGGGAAAGAGAAGAAAUACUUUUUUAUUGGGAAAAGACAUGGCUUCAUUAAUAUGAAAAAAAGAGCUGCAGUUGGUCUGUUAAGGAAUUUUUUUUUUCUUUUUAAAUUCUUAUGAAAUUGAGUUUUUAUAGCCUUAACUCUUAAAAAGUCACUUUACAAAGGGGUAAAUUUGUUUAUAAAAUUUUAAAGAUAAAGUAAGUGGGGAAAUAAGACAACAGAUGGAAAUAACAUCACUCCUAAUUAAUAGAACUAAUAUGUUAAUUCAAUAAUCAUUCAUAUAAAAUUAAUUAAAUAUAUUACUUUAAUUGUCGUGUUCUUGUCUUAUCGUAUUCUAGUUUUUUGAUAUUUGACGUAUCAUACUUUAUCAUAUCAACAUACCCGUAUUCAUAUCCGUACAACAUAGGUUGAGUGUGAGUUAAUUGAUUUUUUUAAAGUUUUUUAUGGAUGUCAGGAAGACGACUGCAUAAUCAAUCAAGUUGGGAGACCUGGUGCUAAAAGAUUGUAUGUUCUUGCAAAGUUCUUACCAAGGUGAGUUAUACUGUGAAAACUCACUUCCAGAUCUUGAGAGAACCACACUCAAAUGCAUGAUAAUAUGCAAAUUACCUUAGCAUAUAGAGAGUACCUUACAAUUACCUUCUGGCUAGCGGAAAGCCAGUCAAGCAAGGAGAAACUCAAUGGCGAAUCAAGCAAGGAGGAGCUUAAUGACAGUUAAUGGUGAAUUGCAAUAUCCUUGUUAAAAAGGUUGACCACUUGCAAUACCAGAGAAAACUUACUCUCUCGAAAGCAUGAUACCUAAGGAAAGGAGAGAAUUGAUUGCUUCUAGUUCUAAUUCCAUAGGUACCAGAGAAGUGUCUCCACAUGAAAAUAUUGGAUACAACCGAUUUCAUGUUGCAAGAGGUAAUUUUUAAUACUAGUUUUAAAUUGGAUUGAUAUCUCCUUUCCUCUUUUUUUUUCUUUUUUUUUUUCAAUACAAGCUCUUUAUAUCUAAUUUGCUUUUUAAAAUUUCUUAUUGUAGAUAAGUACUAUCUUGUGAAUGCGGGUUAUACUAAUGGACCGGGGUUUUUAGCACCCACUACUACAAAAAGUGAAAAAGACGACCAGAAAACAACGACGGUCUAAGUGAAAACCGUCGUGGUUUUUAAAAAGACGACGGUUCUAAAAACACCGUCGUGUAAUACCACCUUAGACAACUAAAAAUGGAGAUUCAAAUGGCUGUUCAAAAACAACGACGUACCUAAUUAAACAACCGACGUCUAUUUGAAAAAAAUUUCCGCAGUGUAAAAUCAAAGCCAACAAAGAACGGCAGAAGUUAUGAAUCGACCGACGUAGAAAGUAAAGACGACGAUUUCAAUAAAAGCCGCCGUUUUUACUCAUAAAAUAACACGACGAGGUUUUCGUAUAAGACGCCGUAUAAUUACAAACAAAUCCACGGCUUUAAAAUACAAAAUAUCGCCGUAUUAAAUUAAUGUACAACGACGGAAAAUAUAAAUAUAUCGACGUCAUUCUUGUAUAGUUCUACGACGUUAUCUUUAAAUCGUACUAUAAAAUUUAACGUCGUAUUUAUUCAUUUUAUACGUCGUACCUUUAAUUUAAACCGUCGUCUUAAUAAGAAUUUUUGUUAACAAUUUUUUCCUUUAUUUUCUUAUCCUACGUCGGUAGAUCUACUUAAUGACAAGAAUUGAAAUCUGUCAUCCAAAAAAAAAACUUUACAUAUUCCAGAACAUUAAUUUCCUUCAUUUUAAAUUUCCUCCGGAAAAAAAACUCUAUUUAUAACGCACUGUAAUUGAAAAAUAAACUGAAAGGUCACGGGAAAAAAAAUUCUAUUCAUAAUUUAAAAAUUCAAAUCCACGUCGGUUAUAUUAAACCUAACGACGUUAAAUGAAAAGAUUCCACGUCGCAAAACAAAUAUUGCGUCGUGUUAGUUUAGGGUUUCUUUAACAGUUUCAGUUUCUUUAACAGUUUGGUCCUUUAUCUUUCUGCAGGACUUGUAUAGUUCAAAGCAUUGACAAUGUCUUCAUCAUAUCUCCCAGCAACUACUGAUUCGAUUGCUCUACGGAUAAAGGAAAUGGAGCAUUCAGGUGCAAACUAGCACAAGCAAUGGCCUACUGAAGCUGGAAACUACUUGUUUGUUCCACUCGGACCCAGAGCAGAGCAACCUGCUAAGCUUUAACAUAAUGCGCGAGGAUGAUCGUGAAAAAUGAAAUGGAGCAUUCAAUUGCUUUAGAGGCCAUCUGAAGCCAUUUCUAUUCUUUAUCGCAUUCUUCUGAAGCUCUACGGAUAAAGGAAGAGGCUAUCACAAAUCUGACGGAUCUUCUUAGCCAAGAAAAUCAAGCAGAGGAUCAGGCACAUCUGAUCUUCAGAUUUCCCUGAGAAGCGAACUUUCCUUCGACAGCGAGUGGAGGCCAGGCUUGCAUCUCUUUUGAUGGAAAGCAAGGAGUAUUCAGAAGCACUAAGUGUCCUGUCAGGCUUGAUCAAGGAAGUGAGAAGGCUAGUUGACAAGCUUCUUCUUGUGGACAUAGAUUUGAUGCGAGUAAGCUCAAUUUCUCUUUGAGUAAGCCUAAAUUAUUGUCUUUGAGAUGUGAGAGACAGUGUCUCUGAGAGAGGAAGAACUUGGAACCUUAAAUGUAAACCGAAAAUGAAUGAAAGCGACAAAUUUAAAAUUAAAAUUCCGAAACAUAAUAGAAUUUCACCUAAAAAUAAAAACAAGUACAACACCAUACGUAUGCCCGGAAUAAUUCGAACCCUUCAUUGAAGCCAUGGCCAUAAUUUUCUUCCAUUUUUACUUUUACUUUUACUUCAUUGGAUUCCUUUAUCCUCAUUCAAUAAUGUUUUGAACUUUUGCCCACCUCCACUUGUAUUCUUUAAUUAUUUUCUAAACCCCUUCAUUCCCUAUUGUCUUGUUUCAAUCAUGUUCUGAACCAUUGCUCAACUUUGUCCAUCUCACUUUAUUGGAUUCCCUUAUCUUUCCUUAUCUUUUCCUAUCUUCAUUCAAUUAUUUUCUGAACCAUUGCUCAUUUUUGUUCAUCUCACUUUAUUGGAUUCCCUUAUCUUUCCCUAUCUUUUCCUAUCUUGAUUCAAUUAUUUUCAAACAUGUAGGUCAUCUCAUUCUCUUGUCUAUUUAAGAAGUGUUAUUCUACUAAAUUGACCACACAAUCUCCUUCAAUUCUCCUUCUUACAAUGAAUUCACGUGGGAAGCCUAUACAAAAUUUCUUCAAUGGUGAUUCUGAUGAUGAUGACCUUCAUCAACAGAGGGUUGCAAUGGCUGUUCGACACCAUAUGUUUUUGCUGCACCAAUAUGCUCAACAAUCCAAACAUGAUGGUUCUGUUGCAGGCCGUGAAUACAAGAAUCGGAAGAGAGAAAAAUAUCAUAAGAGUCUCAUGGAGGACUACUUCUGUGAAAGACCACUUAAUCCCCCAGUGGACUAUCACAGGCCGUUCCGCAUGAAAAGAGAGCUUUUCAAUCGCAUCUUGAAUGAUGUUGUUGCACAUGAGCCAUACUUUAUCCAGAAGAUAGACACUUGUGGACGACAAAGUCUAUCCCCAUAGCAGAAGCCAACAACUGUUUUUCGAAUGCUCGUAUAUGGAUGCUCGGCAGACUCCACCGAUGAGUACUGUAGAUUGGGUGAAUCUACAGCCCUUGAAUAUUUGCGAAAGUUUUGUUCCGUUAUUGAAGCUGUGUAUGGUCAGUGAUACAUCCGUUCCCCAAAUCCGGUCGAUCUUUACAGGCUCUUGCACAAGGCUAGUCACAGAGGAUUCCCAAGCAUGUUAGGUAGUCUUGACUACAUGCAUUGGGAAUAGAAUAACUGCCCCACUGCUUGGGCAGGCCAGUUUACCGGCUACAAGCAUAAGCCAACUGUCGUUCUAAAGGCAGUGGCCUCAUAUGACACUUGGAUAUGGCAUGCCUUUUUUGGAGUUGCCGGAUCGAACAAUGAUAUCAACAUCCUAACUCGUUCCCCGUUGUUCAAUGAUGUAGUCAAUAGGAAUGAAUACAAUCUGGGUUAUUACUUGGCUGAUGGUAUCUACCCUCGUUGGGCUACAUUGGUUAAGACGAUUUCCCAACUGGAUACUCCAAAAAAAAAGACUAUUUGCCCAAAAAUAAGAGGCUUAUAGGUAGGAUGUAGAGCCUUCGGAAUACUUCAGGCUCAAUGGGCAAUUGUUAGGGGACCUACACGUAUGUGGCGCAAAGAGGAACUUCAUUCAAUCAUGAUGACGUGCAUAAUAUUGCACAACAUGAUUGUUGAGGAUGAGUAUGAUGAUCUAGAUGUAGAAUUUGAUGACGAAGAAAAUUGUCCACGAACAUAUAGAAGAGCAAGAGCAAGACUGGCUUAUGAGCUUGAGCCAACUAUCACAUACGAUAUAAACCGAGACAGACAAACUAUCUCAGACUACUUGGUCUGUCAUAAUAGACUUCAUGCUUCGUAAGUGCAUCACAAUCUAAGAAAUGAUUUGAUCAACCACAUUUGGAGAUGUGAAGGAGAGGGGCAAUGAGCUAUGUUGUGUGUUUAAAUUAUGUUGUGUGUUUAAAUUAUGUAAGUGUGUUUAAAUAAUCUAAGCGUGUUUAAAUUAUGUUGUGUGUUUAAAUUAUGAAUUAUAUGGUUUAUCAUUGAAUUUAAAAAAAGACUAAUCAUAGAAAAAUAAACAACAAUCAUUAUAAAAAAAAAAAAAAAAAAAGAUAAACGAUAAUUAUAAAUAAAGAUAAACAACAAUUACAAAUAAAGAUAAACGAUAAAAAUAAAGAUAAACAAGAAUUGCAAAUAAAGAUAAACGACAAUUAUAAAUAAAGAUAAACAACAAUUACAAAUAAACGUAAAUUAAUAACCGCUAUGUGGAGGGCUUAGAUAAUAGUCUCCAGAGUUGUCUUCUGGAUUGUAGGGGGAACUUGUAUUCAUCUGGGCCUCAAUAAUUUCGUCUUUAUUAUUCCCCCAAUACUUUUUCUUUCUUGGAGUAAAUUUGGAUAGGCCCAUGGACAUUAUCCUUUGUUCAUUGGCCUCCUUAUUUUGUUGGAUUUGAUAUGCAUGUUGCUCUUAUAGGAGCUCUAACUUUCGCCUCCUAUCCUCUUUUGCCUCAUUUCCUUGUUGAACCAAUUUAGACAAGAACUUACCACUUUAGUUGAGAUAACUUUCAACACCUUUCCCUUUCUUUUUUUCAUCCUUUUGUUUAUCUCUUCCCAACGGCCUUGGAGUGGGCAUGACCACAUCAUCUUCAUCUUCCUCCAAAUUGACUGUAUUGCCACUAUGAGAAGAAUCUUUGAAUGUUUGUGUAGGAGAUUCACAUAGGUCGUUCCAUUUUGGGCAAUCUUUUAAGAUUUGCCAAGCAUGAUACAACUUGAAAGGCAUAUUCGGAGGUUUAUUAUCAUUCAAGAAAAGUAUUUUUGCAUUCAUAUCCUACCCAUGAAAUAAAACAAAAAUCAAGUUAAUAAUUGAAAACAAUUAAAAUUAUAAAUUUAAGCAUUGAAAAAAAAUGGGUACUCACCACAUCUUCAAGAUUGGAGCCACUCAUAUGCCUUGCAUUAGCCUUUGUUAUACAUGCCUUCCAAAGAGAACAUUGUUGGUUGAUGAUCUUGAACAGAGAAACAAUAGCUUGCGGUGAUCGUACCCCGGCUCCGCUCAUGCCCGGAUCAUUUUCCAAAAACUUUUGGUACAUACGCAACCAAAAUGAGUCGUUUGAUUGAUUCGUGUCAAUAGACCCAUCUUCAAAGACAAAAACCCACCCUUUGCACAAUGCCUCAUCUUCUUGUGGUUUCCAAUUCACACCUCUUUGGGGUUUGGGGGCCAUUCUCAAUAAGAAUGAAUGUAGAAUGAAAAAUUAUAACAAAGGGAGAAAGGAAAACAAAAAAGAUUUUUGGUGGAUUAUUUACCAAAUGAAUGGCUAUUUAUAGAGUUUGGAAUAAGUUUUCGGGUUGGAUCUGACUUAGAUUAAUUAUAAAUAUUAUUUUGACCGUUUGAUUUAAAUUUGAGCCAUUGGAUGUGAAAUUUUACCGUUGGGAUUGCCUAAAAUGAAUCAUAAUCGUUGAUUUUAUAGCUGUUGGAAUAUAUAAAAAAAAAAAAAAAACAGCAUAUCAGAUUAUUUGAAAAAGUAGCCGUUGGCCAUCAUUAAAUGAAAUGGGAAUCUGCUUUUUCGCAUUUGUCAGCAGGCCCAGCCAAUUUGGCCAUCACGUGGGCUUCCAGCCGAAAUAUAAAAAAAACAAAAUUAAAGCAUAUUUUGGGCCCACAAAAUUAUCAGUCCAUGCAGAAAUCAGACUAGAAUUCCACCCCAAUUUUGAGAUUUCUCAAAUUUUCACCCCCAAAAAUACAUUGGAGAAGAUUUUUGGACUCAAAACUCAAAAUUUGAGUUUCCACCCCUUGGGUUGGAGAUGGUCUAAGGACGUCACCUAUGCUGACGGAGUUUUCUAUUGUGUUUUUAUGUAAGGUAUGUCGUUAAUGGUGGGUAAGUUGGAUGUAGACUUUAAGAAUGGGUGGAUUGUUCAAUCUCCUUAGGGAUACAAUCUUAUCCAAUAUUCUCUUACCUGGUUGAGUCUGAUGGGAAACUCUUAUUGGCACUUUAUCAUCGCGAUCAUGUCGAAGGUUAUUGGUAUAUUUACCAACUUGAUUAUGUAAGUGUAUGCAUUUUGAGUUUUUCUUUUGGCUUCUCUUGACAAUAUUGUAAGAGGACAUAUAUUGUAAUCACCCAAACUCAAGUUUAGUUUAAGAAUAGUUUCUCUAAGUGUUCUUAUCUGGCUGCUAUCUUAUGGAAGAUCAAUCAUAUUGACAAAGGUAAUUUGUGCAUUGCAUCAUAUUGCAUUCAUUAGAUUUCUUAAGAUUAUGACUAGUCAUCUUGUUUUCGUAUGACUAGUCAUUUUUUGCAUCAGUAAGUUUUCCAGUUGGAUCCUACCAAACCUUUUUGUCUUAUUCUACGAAUUUUCUCAGUUGCCAUGUGUACUAUUCUGACCUGGGAAUUUUUUGGUAAAAGCCAAAUGAUUCCUCAUUUGGUAGGGGUCAAUUUUGAGGUGAGGUUUUGAAAAGGUUUCUCUAUUCUUUUGCUUCUUCUUCUUCCUUAAGAGAAAACCACCAUUUUCAUCUAUGAGUUUUCUAAAUUAAUUUUCAAAAAUUGCUUUUGAAAUAUUAAAUCUGCAUCUAUUUAGAACAAACACAUUCUCUAUACAUCUAUGUCAGAUUCAAGAUUGGUUUCUUCAAGAGUAUGGUUUCUUGAUGAAAUUGGUAUUUUCUCCUUGAAUUCAAAUUGUUGGUUUCUGUUCGAGUUUGAGCUGGCUAGUUGGUGCCAUGGGAUGAAAAAGCUGAAGAAUGAGCUGUUAUUGCCAUACAGGACUAAACUACUAGCUUUGCUAAGUUGGAGAAAAAGAUUGCACAAAGGAGGUAUAGCUUAUCUUCCUAAAUAGAUCUAGGAUCUCUUGAGCUUGCUUGUAUUUGUUUGUAAGAUAUGACUUUAAUCAAAAUAGGGAGAAACUCUAUAACUUAUUUUUUAGAUAAAUAAUAUUUGUCAAAGUUUGUUAGAACCUCAUUAGCAAGUUCAAUUGUCACAUUCCCAUUUUUCCUUUAUCCACCCUGUCGUUUACUUUUAAUUUUUAGAACUAAAAAUUUGCAAAACAAGAUUUUAAUCUGAUACUAUACUCCUUCAAUACAAGAUUUUAAGUUAGAGAAAAGAAAAGGGUGAGUUGAGGAUUAGAGAGUUAGCCAAAGAGUGGGAGUUAGGUGGUGGUUCUACAAUUUGGGUAUCCAACAUAUUUAAUGUUUAUUUUAUUUUUUUUAUACAGAUGAGUAUGACUGUUAUUUUCUUAAAAAAUAAAAAGAAAAAUUUUAUGUUGAAGCAUAACAUUGAAUAAAACGUCCCCACUCGAACUUCAUGGAAAAUGUAUUAAGGGUAGGAAAAAAAAAUUAUCUUAGCCAGAAAAGAAUCUUUUCCAUGACUGCCAAGGGAGAAAUCCACCUGGAAAAAAAAUUUACGAAGAAUGUGAAUUAACUUGACCAAAAAAAAAAAAAAAAAACCGAGGGGUUCAAUCCAGAAAAAUUAUAAAUAAUAAUGAGAAACAGAUUUUUUCAGCCCUUUGAAAGCAUAUGAUCUGAACACAUACCACAUCCAGGACAUUUGACGUAGUCUUCUUUGGUCAAAACAAGCCCUGACCCUCCACAUACCUCACAUCUUUUCUGUGCUAUCUAAUAUAUAUAUAUGCAUAAUCAUCAAUACCAUAUAUUAUCCCUGACAAAAAUAAAUGAUUAAUUAUGAACUCUGGAAAACUUACUAUUCUUUUGCUGAAUUCAAUCCCAGCCACCACAAAAGGUGUAACUCCAGCUGCGCAUGCACAAAAAACAAAAAAGAAAAAGAAAAAAGAAAUUCAAAAUUCAAUAAUUCAGAAAGAAUUUACAGUAGUUAUAUAAUUUAAGAGUGAAAAUAUACCUAUGGCUCCAACAACAAUUUGCCAAGUGAUGGCAACCGGGGUUGGAUCCACUACAACCGGAACAUGAUGAAUUGCUGCAACCCUCCAAGCUUUUGUGCUUGGUUUUUUCAUAGCUAGCUGCUGGUUCUGGUUGCAUGGUUUUCUGGUAAAGCUUGCAUGUUUUGAGAUGUGAAGGCUUCUUCCUAAGAGAGUGUUGUUGGAGGAAGUUGGAGUUGCCAUUUGUGUGAAGGAAGAGACUGAGGCUUCCAUAUUUGGUCGUGUGAUGAGUUGAGAGAGAGAGAGAGAGAGGGUAUCGGCUGAAUUGAAAGUCACCACAGCUUCAUAUUGGGCCACGUUGCAUCUCCGCACUCACAUACUCAUUAGACAAUGUGGAUCACACAUAUAUAUUUGCGAAUGCUUGUGCCUUUUUCCCUCAUUUUUGCCCAAAAAAAGAUUCCCUCAAUGUCAUUUCAAUUUUGAUAAUUAUAAUCUUUUAGUUUUAUAAUUUUAGCAAUUAAGUCCCAAUUAAGGGUAAGCAUUCGUUUUUCUCCAUAACAUAUUUCACAGAUUUAUUACCGAGAUUUGUUUUGAGUAAAUUAAAGACUUCAAUUAUAUGAAAGUAACGAGUUGAGGACUUAUGGUGUUCCAUUAGAGAGGACAAGAUAUCCCACAGAUAUUCCCAUUACCACCCCAGAUGCAUACCCCAUCAACACUACCUUCUAAUCAAAACCAUUCCCAUGCUCCAAAUCAUCCUCUUGUUGGAAUGACGAUGGCGGUGAUUGAUGUGCAUUGCAUGUUUUAGAAAGUGGCAAUCCACAUAAUCCGGUAUUCCCACUAUAUGAAUCAUUUUCAAAUGUAUCAAAUUGCUUGCCAUGAGGUAUGGGCCCCCAUAAGUUGAUUUUUUGAAACAUUGAACUUUGAUAGUGACGUCAAAUUUGCCAGUUGCUCCGGAAUAUCACCAACAAGUUUGUUUGAAGACAGAUCUAACCAUUUAAGAUUGCACAUAUCGCCAAAUGAUGGUGGAAUUGUACCUGCAAGCUCAUUAUGAGAAAAUUUAAGCCCCUUCAAUGAUUUAAGCUUACUAAUUACACUUGAAAUCUCUCAUCUGAAAGUGUUGUUUGAGAAAUCAAUAAUUGUGAAGAACGUCAGGAUCUUCUCCAUUUCAAUUUCGAAGCCUUUAAUUGUCACUACCACAGUAUCCUGAUAGUAGCGCCCUCCCAUAUAUUUCAGUCCAUGUUCUUGCGAGUUUAUCAUGACUGUCAAAUGUUCAAAAUAUUUUAUUGGCAAGAGACCGCUAAACCGAUUGUAGGAUAAGUCCAUGAUACACAAUUUUUGGAAUGGAAAGUUAGUUUUCGGAAUGCCUAUUUCACCAUAGAAUUUGUUAGACCUCAAGAUAAGAACCGGCAACUUCGGAAGAGAUUCCAGCCAAUUUGGCAUAUUUCACAGAUUUAUUACCGAGAUUUGUUUUGAGUAAAUUAAAGACUUCAAUUAUAUGAAAGUAACGAGUUGAAGACUUAUGGUUCAUUUUUUUGAAGUUUGUUCAAUUUACUGUCAAAACAUGUCACCCACACAGUCACUUGUUGGGGAUUAAUUUUUGUAUUUUUUCUUUUUAAAACUUUUGAAUUGUUCAAAAAUGUCACAUGUUCUCUACAUAGUCUCUCUCUCUCUCUCUCUCUCUCAAAUAGAGUCUCUCCAACUCCAUCCAUUUAAUGCAAAUUUUUUUAUAUCAAAAAUUCCAAUAUGUAAUACUUGAGAAGUUGAUAUUUAUAACAAGCUUCGUUGUCCUUCAUUUAAAAUUUCCACUGUGGUAGGAUGGCAAGUACUUGAGCUUGUUUCCUGCAAAAUCAACAAGCAUCUUUUGACAUGGAGGGUGAAGCAUCUAUAUUGUCACAUGGGUGUAGGUCCCAGUGUUAGCUAGCUAGGAAAUUCUUGUAACUAGUUACCAUUUUUAGUAUGGCAAGUACAUGAUGAGUUUGUUUUAUGGAAAAUCAGCAAGCAAGGAAGCAUCUAUAUUGUCACAUGGGUGUAACUAGGAAAUUAUUGUAACUAGUUACUAGGCUUUGAUUUGAUAUUUGAUAUUUGGUCUUUGGUCUUUGGUCUUGGUAGGAAAUUAUAAUUUCUGUGUGUUCAAAUGGUUUUCACGUUUUGCCUCCAAUUCCUACUAGUCAAAACUUGUCUAAAUAUGAUUCACAUUCUGUGUGUGGACCAAAUAUGCAAAAAAUGUUUGGAUAAGGAGAAAAAAUUAAAUUUUGGAUUUUAUGCAUGCUAUUUAGUGAUUUAAUUCUUUUCAUUUCCUUGUAUUUUUUGGAAUGAGAACAUUUUUAGGAGUAUAUAACAUAGUUGAGCCAAAUUGCGUGUACUGAUUGAAUUGAUUUGUCAAUUGUGUUUGACAAAUUACAAGAUGCACGAGCAAUUAAUCUACUUUAACAAAAGUAGGAUCCUCUUUUUAAAUUCAUGCAUAUUUAUUGCGCUUUGACAUAAUACAAUAUUCAUAAAAAAAUGAUAUACAAUAUGAAAAUACAUAAACUUUUGGAACGGUUAAUUCUUCAAGCACGUCGUCAUGUGAUUUCAACAGUUCUAUGACGUUGCUUUCUUCCUACCAUUUUAACAAGCUAAUCUGGUGUUCCAUUAGAGAGGACAAGAUAUCCCACAGAUAUUCCCAUUACCACCCCAGAUGCAUACCCCAUCAACACUACCUUCCAAUCAAAACCAUUCCCAUGCUCCAAAUCAUCCUCUUGUUGGAAUGAUGAUGGCGGUGAUUGAUGUGCAUUGCAUGUUUUAGAAAGUGGCAAUCCACACAAUCCGGUAUUCCCACUAUAUGAAUCAUUUUCAAAUGUAUCAAAUUGCUUGCGAUGAGGUAUGGGCCCCACAAGUUGAUUUUUUGAAACAUUGAACUUUGAUAGUGAUGUCAAAUUUGCCAAUUGCUCCGGAAUAUCACCAACAAGUUUGUUUGAAGACAGAUCUAACCAUUCAAGAUUGCACAUAUUGCCAAAUGAUGGUGGAAUUGUACCUGUAAGCUCAUUAUGAGAAAAUUUAAGCCCCUUCAAUAAUUUAAGCUUACUGAUUGCAUUUGGAAUCUCUCCUCUGAAAGUGUUGUUUGAGAAAUCAAUAGUUGUGAAGAAAGUCAUGAUCUUCGCCAUUUCAAUUACAUUGCAUUUAAUUGCCAUUGCCAUAGUAUCCUGAUAGUAGCCCUCUCCCAUAUAUUUUUCAGUUCAUGUUCUUGUGAGUUUAUCAUAGCCGUCAAAUGUUCAAAAUAUUUUGUUGGCAAGAGACCGCUAAACCGAUUGUAGGAUAAGUCCAUGAUACACAAUUUUUGGAAUGAAAAGUUAGUUUUCGGAAUGCCUAUUUCACCAUAGAAUUUGUUAGACCUCAAGAUAAGAACCUGCAACUUCGAAAGAGAUUCUAGCCAAUUUGAGAAUGUGUCUUGAAUUUUGUUCUUUUCAAGGUCUAGAACUUCCAACUCUCUACAUGUGAGCAAAGUGUGCAGCAACGACCCUUCGAACUGAUUUCCAUUAAGAUUAAGAUUUCUCAAAAUGUUUCCCUUAGAAAAUGUCCAAGGAAUCACUCCAUGAAAUUUAUUAUUUUGCAGUCAAAGUGGUUCACCGACCACUACAUCGAUGAAAAAUCUCGCCAAAAUAUGCUCUUUGAUCAGUGAUUCACCGGCCACUACAUCCAGGAUCCCACCUAAAAACCAAUCAUCUGCUUGUUAUUGUUCCCUUUCUCUCUCUCUAAGACUAAAAGAGUGAGGAAAAGAAGCAGCUUUGGCAGCUAUUUUUGGGUAGAAACUAGACAUUUGUAGUGUGUGUGUGUGUAUAUGGACUUUACCGCUGUGGCCUUUACUGUAUGAUCUAUUAUUGUGAACUCAGUUUUGUUAUGCAGUUGCUUUGUUACUCAUUUGUCCGACGAUAAGAAUUUGUUUUGGAUUGUUGAGAUUUAUCAAAAUAGUAUGUUUAAUAUAAUUCUGAUAAUGUUUAUCAAAAUAUCUUAAUUAUAAAAAAUGAAGAAAAAAAUUGUUUUCAAGAAUUCCACCAAACAAGUUUUCAAAUUUUAAAUAUUCAAAAACAGUUUUCAAGUUGUAUACCAAACAACUUUUUGAAUCUUAAAAAAUGAAUUUGAGAACUCCUUGUUUUUUAAGAAAAAUAACAAUUUUUAAGUUCUCUACUUGGAUAGAAUACCAAACAAGCCCUUACUCACUCACUAUCUUCUUCAUAUUAAUAAAUUGACCACCAUGUUCUGUCAAUCUAUUUUCUUCAGGCCCGUUUGGUAUUUUAUCCAAGUAGGAAACUCAAAACCUUAGAUUAUUUUAAAAAACAAAGAGUUCUCAAAUUCAUUUUUUAAGAUUCAAAAACUCGUUUAGUAUGCAACUUGAAAACAGUUUUUAAAUUUUUAAAUUUAGAAACUUGUUCGGUUGAAUUCUUGAAAACAACUUCUUUUUUUUCUUUUUUUUUUAUAGCUAAGGUAUUGAUAAACAUUAUUGAAAUUAUACUAAACAUACUGAUUUUAAUAGUCCUGAUCUCUUAGACUACAGGGGUCCAAGAGAUUUGUGGUCACUUAUCGUUGAAUGUAAAUUCAACGGUUCACUCACUCUUGCACUCCUUUUAAGAAACUUUUUUGAACCAUUGAAUUAAUAUCCAAUAGUGGGUGACCACAAUCUCUUGGACCACAGAGAUCGGGACUGCUGAUUUUAAUACCAUACAUAAAUAAUGAUCGUCAAAUUCAAUUGAUCUUCAAGUCUUAAAUAAUACAUAUUAAAUUAAAAUAUUCUAUACUAAAUAAAUUCUAGACUAAUGAUAUUGCUCCGGCUAUUCAAUCUCUAGCAUCACUAAUUUCAUUAGCAUUGUCCUCACUCAUGCAAAUGGGUGUGUUCCCUGCUUGAUUUGCGCAAGAGCUUUCUUCAUCUACCACAUCAAGAUCAUGCAAAUUGUGCAAAAUUCCAUUAGGGCCCCAAUAAUGUCACUUCAGACACCAUCAUAUUUGUAUAUAACCAAAUUGCAAAAUUGGAAUGAGAAUAAAUCUUCACAAGUCUCCAACUAAAAUAGCAGAUAAAGAAUUCCAUGAUAUAGCUGAGAUACAAAAUUGCUACCACGCACAACACAAUCCAUGAAUAAAGAAUUCCAUGGUAAGGUAUGCACUGUAAUAUUUCCUUCUUAGACUCUGUCAAAUCUAACAGGCCUUCUUAGAACAUAAUCUACAUGGAACCCAAUUUGGGCAAGCUCAUGACAACUCUAUUCAAAGCUUGAUUUUUCAUAACAGUAGAACAACUUACUAUAACCUUCAAUAUGGUUCACUAGCCAUAUCCUUGACAAUACCAGGAAAAUCCAAACUAUGGCCACACAAAUAUAAAGAAACAAUAAAACUGGCUAUAUAUAACUUAGAGAGAGAGAGAGAGAGAGAGAGAGAGAGAGAGAGAGAGAGAGAGAGAGAUGUGGAUGAAGAGAGAGAUACCUCUGUAAUGCUCAACCAGUCCAAAACAAAACUCACAAAAUCCAUAACCAAAGGGCACCCUACGGCUAAACAUUGGCAUUUGAUACCUCUAUAAUGUGUCUAUGAAAUUGAUCAAAAUGAAAACUUGAGUGGAAAACUUCUUCUGUAACAAUUCCUACUAGUUUGAACAAAUGUCUAAGAAAAAACUUGUGUAUAAAAUACAUGAUUUUUACUGUCACAUACAUACUGAACAAGCUCUUAUCAAAACUUGUCAAGUUAAGUGAAACGAUCAAUCACAAUAAAUUGAGUUAAUUUUGACUGCAGAGCUCAUACUAACGGCAAGCUGAUGUGCAAAAUACUACAUAUUCAAGAAUUCUUUUUAAAUAGAAUAUAGAAGUUGAUUAACAUAUUAAGACUUCUUUUUUGGACCAAUACAUGAAAAAAAUUGCAGAGAAGCAUCAAAUGACCAAUUCAACAUAAGCAGGAUCUCAGAAAUUACAACCCAUAUGAAUAGCAUAACUGAGCAAAUAUCAUUCAGACUUCUGAGUGCUAGAGACUUCAAAUGAGAUAAUAAAAACAAAAAACAAAAACAACUGAAAAAAUUGAAACCAAUGAAUUCUAUAACCAGAAUAGGGAACACAAUGGACCCAUAAUGUCAAAAUCUAAAAGCAUUUCAUCACUUUCUAUGAAAAAAUAAUCAAUCAGGUUACACACAAGAAUUCAUAUAAAUAAAAUCAAAUUAGAUAUAAAUAAGCUAUAAAUCCAAUAAAAAAUAAACUCCAAUCUUCAGUUAUAAAGGACAAAAAGGGAACUAAAAAUUACCCGAUUGUAGAGAUCGGACAUUAGCAACUCCAGCUCACGACGAGCCAAUGGUGCGCGCCUGUUCGGUGGCGUGUGACGCCGAUAUUUCAACUGACAGAAUCGCAGAGACCAGAGGAGGCAGCGAGGGCGGUGCUCAGAUGCCCAGCCCUAAAAGUUACUGAUGAGAGAGAGGGACGAAGAGAGAGAUGGAGAGAGAGAGGGAGCAACAAAGCUUCAAGCUUCUGCUAUGGAGGCUUGAAGCUUGAGCUCAGAGCAAGCGUUGCUCGAGCGAUGAGACGAGUAGAAAAAAAAAUUCGAAAAAAACAGAAUUUUUUAUGUUUUCUAAUUUGUUGGUGUUUUUGAGUUUAUUUUGAGUUUGAGUUUUUAAUUUUAUAUGAUUAUAUUUGAAGGGAAAAAAAAAACCCAAAAUUCAAGUGUUAUAUCUCUGUUUAUUAAUUAAAUUAUUAAAGUUGAACCUUUCAUGCUCAUAUUUUUAGUUUCUUUAUUGAUAUUGCCUCUAUCUUGAUGUGGUGAUUGUUGAGAUUUUUAUUUUUUAUUUUUAAGAAAAUCUCGACGGAACGAGAAAAACUUUAUUGAUAAAAUGAAGAAUUACAACGCGAGGAACAAUAAGACUGACCCUGACACAAAAAAUCACAUAAUAAGGUGUUCUAAAUAAGAUCAUCAAACCAAAUAAAAAUAUCCACAUUAUGCAGACCGAAUCGAGCAAGUCACCAAUGUGCAACACCAUUUGCUUCCCAAUGAGUAAAUUGAAAAAGAGAUCCAGGAAUCUCAAAUAAAGUUGAGGAUUUUAUUGUUAUUAGUUGCUUUUAUUAUAAAAUUUAAAACUCUGGAAACCUUAAAAAGACAAAAAUAAAAAUAAAAAGAAGACAUUACUCUAAAAAGAUAUUUGGAUUAAUAUUUUCUUUAAAAAAAUCGAUGAUUAGUUUAUAAAAUAAAAUAAACAAACUACAAUUUUAGUGAUUAAUGUGUUCGUACAUGAGCACACUUUAGACUUUCACCUUGGGCCUUUGAGAGUUGAGAACCGGCCCUGCCUUUCAUAAUAAAAUUGAAUAUCCCUCAUGAAUUAAUAAAAAUCUUGUUUUAUUUUGUAAUUGUUAAUUAUGCUAUGUAAUUGCUAAUUUCUAAUGUUGGUGAUUGCUUAAUUUUAAGGCAUAAAAUAUAUUUUCAUUUUAAAUAAUUCCAAGCCAAUGAAAGAUGUCAUUUUUUUGUAAAACGACCUGUCGUUCUUUUCCCACCAGCUGCCGUCUCGUGGUGCUCUCAAGUUCUCAACCCACUCCAACCCCAAAAUUCUCAAGUCCAAUCGGAGGUCGCGCUAUGGCCAGCCUCUGUCUCCUUACGACCAAGAUGACGACGAAGAGGUUUCUCGUGCUAGUGAUGUUUCGGAUGACGAUUGGUUGCUCAAUGUGAGUUUCUGUUCUGGCUCUUGUGCUUGAGCUGCUCGACUUGGUGGUUGUCCUUUGGGAAAGUGUUUUUUCUUGCUUUUGAAAGCAGAUUUUUUUUUUUUAAUUUAAUUUAAUUUUUUAUAGUUAAAGUUCUACUUGGAUUUGAAGUACCUUUACUUUUGUGAAUGUAGUAGCAUUUGGUUUUUCAGUUUUUUAUUAAAAUUUUAACUUUAAUUUGAGGCAUGGAUAGUAACAAUGGUACAAUUAUGCUCACUGUGAGGUACCCAUGUUUUGAAAUACGGUAAUUUGUAGUUUUUCUUUGUGGAAUUCUUGAUUUGGUUGCUUAGGGGUUUGAGGUAAAUAUUUGUUUGUGGGUCUUUUUCAAUGUAAGAAGUGCAUGCCAGUUUCUUUCUGAUUUACAAAGCAACGUGCAAAGAAAGAUUAAGAGUUCAAGUUUUAUCCGUUUUCUUUUUGCAUUUCAUUAUUGAAAAUAUUGCAAAAUUGAUUCUUGGACUUGUGGUAAUUUAUUUUCAUGGAAAGAUUAGUUUGGUAUAAGUGUUUCUGUGACACAACUAUCUUCGGUUUCCUUUGUUUGAAACAUCAUCUGGCUUUUCUUGUGGGUUGCUUCUCCAGGAUGACUUUGCAGAAAUUUCAGAGUUUGAUGUUAAUAGAAAGAGGUCCAAAUCACACAAGGGAUUUGUGAAUGGUCAUUCGGAUGGCAGAAACAGUAAGCACACUCUAGAGAAAAGUAAUGCUGCAAACUACUACAAUAGUUCUAAUCAAACAAAUGGUGUCAGUUCCUUGGAUGUACCUCGUAAGGGAAAGGUAUCUUGUAGAGUGAUAUGACGAGCUGUCAAAUUCUGUCAUCAACUAUACUAUUUUUCCGGGAAGUGCUUAUUUAUUUUCUUUGAUGCAGCAGUCUACAAGGAAAGCUAUGGAGGAUAGAUUUCCUCGGCUAUCAGAAGAGGUUGAAUUGGAUGAGAAGUGGUUACCUCUUAUUGAUUACCUUAGCACAUUUGGGCUUAAGGAAUCACACUUUAUUCAAAUGUAUGAAAGGCAUAUGCCUUCUCUUCAAAUAAAUGUGUGCUCUGCAAAGGAAAGGUUGGAAUAUUUGUUGAGUGUUGGGGUCAAACAAAGAGAUGUAAGAAGAAUGCUUUUGAGGCAGCCACAAAUCCUCGAAUAUACAGUUGAGAACAAUUUGAAGUCCCAUGUUGCUUUCCUCAUGAGUUUGGGUAUUCCAAGUUCCAGAUUCGGGCAGAUUAUUGCUGCUGCUCCAUCCCUCUUCUCUUAUAGCAUUGAGAAUUCAUUGAAACCCACCGUGAGAUACUUAGUUGAGGAGGUCGGGAUUAAAGAAAAAGAUUUAGGUAAAGUUGUGCAGUUAAGCCCUCAAAUUCUAGUUCAGCGGAUUGAUAUAUCAUGGAAUACUCGUUUGAAUUUUCUUUCUGAGGAGAUAGGAGCACCCAGAGAUAGUAUUGUGAAGAUGGUUAAAAAACAUCCCCAGUUCCUCCACUUUAGCAUCGAUGAUGGUCUGCUCCCCAGGAUCAAUUUCCUUAGGAGUAUUGGGAUGUGUAAUGCUGACAUCUUGAAAGUCUUAACUAGUCUGACACAGGUCUGCUUACUUUCUUUUAUGCCCAUCAGAGUACUUUUACAUUGUUUCUAAUUGCUUGGGAUUUAUUUGUACUUGUGUCACAAGAAAUAGUUUUUCUUUCCAUAUGCAUGUAUGUUAGUAUGAGUUUCUACUUCUUUUACUGAAAUAUCAUGUUCUUAAGAAGAAGAAAAAUAGCUUUCUUGCUGCUUCCCACUUAACAAGUUAAUUUUCUGAAUCUUUGACCAUUUUAAAGUUCCCUUUUGUACAUUUCUGACAUGUAGCCUUGCAGGGACUAUCCCUAUCACUGGAGGAGAAUUUGAAACCCAGGUACAAGUACUUGGUCAAUGAACUUCGUAAUGAAGUGCAUUCCUUGACCAAAUAUCCUAUGUACCUAAGCUUGUCUUUAGACCAGAGAAUUCGCCCCCGACAUAGGAUAUAUAAGAUUUUUCCACCGAAGCUGUCCUACAGUGCCAGUCAAAAAGUUGUGAGAAAGAUCCAAAAACGUCAAUGAAUCUUUCCCCAAAUCCAAUAACCAUUUGGGAAUGUAGGCUUGGAUUCUGUUGUGGGAAAGGUAUAACAUAUCCAACUUUUGUGAGGCUCUGAGAAAGUAUGGGAACUCACUUAUGUUACAAGACGACAAAUCUAGACUCGAAAGUUGAGGCCAGGUGUUGUUACUCAAAUGGUUGAAGCUCAAGGAUAGAUGAUUAAAGGAAAGAUUAAGCUCACUAAGACUUUGGAGUUUGGAAAACUUUUCAAACUCCACAGUGCCACUCAAGUGGUUGGAUGAUAGAUCAAGCCCCGUAACCUUCUCAAGUUCAAAGAUUGAUCUUGGAAUCAGGCCAUCCAGCUUGUUAUCACUUAAAAAAAGGUAUUCCAAAGAACGAGAUUGGAACUCAAUGAUAUUACCACUGAGUUGGUUGCUUCCGAGGUCUAACCACUCCAAUGAUGGCAAACUAACUAACCAAGAUGGUAUUGUUCCGUUGAGUUGGUUCCCAUCUAAAAAGAGGGCGGUUAAGUGUCGUGGAAUAGGACCCACCAGUUGUUGUUUUGAAAAAUCAUAUAAAGAAGAGUUGCUAUCAACUUCUGGAAACUGACCGACAUAAUUGUUGAAACUAAGAUCCAACCAAGUGAGUGUCUCAAGAUUUAAGAAUGACCAUGGGAUUUGGCCACCAAAACUGUUAUACGAGAGGUCCCUUUUGUACAUUUCUGACAUGUAGCCUUUCAGGUACUAUCCCUAUCACUGGAGGAGAAUUUGAAACCCAAGUACAAGUACUUGGUCAAUGAACUUCAUAAUGAAGUGCAUUCCUUGACCAAAUAUCCUAUGUACCUAAGCUUGUCUAUAGACCAAAGAAUUCGCCCCCGACAUAGGUUCUUGCUUUCUCUGAAGAAAGCUCCUAAAAGGCCAUUUCCUUUAAGUUCACUGGUCCCCACUGAUGAAUGCUUCUGCCAGCAGUGGGCUGGAACUAGCUUAGAUAAAUAUAUAGAUUUCCGGCAGAGACUACUGCUCAAGGAGUUUGCCAAAAAAUAUGAAAGAAAGGGAUAGCAUCUUCUCCGAAAGGAUGCCCGAGGUUACUGACCCAAGUGUUUGAUGAACAGAGCAGCCUCCCUUUGCAACUUUGUCUGUGAAUGAAUUUCAAUGUAUGCCACUGUUAACAAUAAUUUCCAUGAAGUUCAGAGUUUCUGGUUAUCAUAAACCUGGAGUAAGCAAGUUUCCAGGUUGUUGACAGUUUCCCGUUGGGAUGGUUAGUUUGUUUCUCAUGUGGAGUAUAUAGGUGGUACCUCACUCCACUCCAAUGCUAUUAGUUGUUCAUACAGGAGCAGCUCCAGUUUUGUAUACAACGUUACAUUCUCAGGUCAAGGCAUCUAGAUGAGUAUUAUUUUCGAGGUUCUAACUGCUUGUGACAGAAAAGACAAUAGACGACAGUCUAUGCUUUAAGGUGAUUUAUUUUUUAAUUGAACAAGAAAGGGUGGUUUCCAGGAUAAUGAAUCUACCUUUUGAAUGGUCGCAUGUUUGAUUAUUUGUGCUGUAUUCCUUUGUGCUAGUAGACAAGUACAACGUAAUACAUCUCUUCCUUACUGCCAUUGGAUAGCCUAAUUACAUUGUUUGAUAUGAUUUUGUACUUUCUAAUGGUUAAUUAACUCAUUGCAGGUUAGUAGUGUAUUUGCAUCUUCUCAACUCUCAAGUGGACAAAGGAGAAGCUUUACUAACUGCGGUUGAUUUAAAACAGGAGGAUUCGUUCUUCUACUGUAUGCAUUGUAAGUCGGAUGAGUUUUUGCUACUUUUUCAUCCCGAAAAUAUACCCAGAGAAAAGCAAGAAAGCAGCCAAAAUUGCAUUGGAAUUUUACAGAGAAAAUUUGUCAACUCUGUAGUUUGGAGAUUCAACCCAACAAGUAAAGGUCAUCAUCAUAUUCGAUCAAAUUGGAUUUAAUUGGUUAAUUUGAGUGGAUUGGAUUGAGUUUUAAACACGAACUAGAUUGGAUUGAUGUCAAACAUAUAACUAUAGAAACUCAACUUUAACACACUAAUAUAUAUGUAACAAUAGUGUUGUAUGAAGAAAAUUACUUCUCUUAUUUCCACCAUAACGUGAUUAAUAAGCAGCUCGAGUUAGUAUUUAUCUCGUGAUGAUACAUCUAACUUAAUAAACAUGAUUAACAUUGAUGAGUAUUUCAUAACUAUCACGAUACAUCCGCGUAACCUAAUUGACUUGUGAUUGGUUUGUAGCUUAAGUUGUUAAGAGCAUUUAUCCUUGUAUUUGAUGUCCUAGAUUCGAUUCCUGCCUCCUCCAAUAUGUUUGUAUAAUAUAUAUUGUAAUUUUUAUUUUUUUUAAAUAUGGUUUGGCGCAUCAACGAUUGAAUUUAGACACCAACAAUAGACCCUUGAACCCAACAAGUGCAACGAUUUAGACAAUAUGACCACUUCCCUCUGGCAUUAAUCUGCAAGUUUAAACUAUGCUAGAUUCCGUUGACAAACAUUAUGACCAAUUCCCUCCUGAUGCUGGUCAACGGUGUGCCUAUGUUGCGAAACCACUUGCCUGUGGCAAGUCCUCCAAAAACAAGUGAUUGGCCAAGUUGAUCCAGUCUCUGGCUAGAAGCUUGCACGUUAUCCUUUCAGGGUCGGUUUGCUUCAAUACAAGAUUAUCAUGAAAACCCAAUCAUUUAUUUAUUUAAUAAUUGAAUUUGGUGGUGUCAAUUUUCAGAAAGUUGUUCAAGGAAUGAGACAGUGAAUGAGACAAACUUCGAUACUGCAUGCAGUUUGCGUUAGUAGCAUUUCUCUUAAAGCUAAGAGAAAUGCUAGUAACAUUCUUUCUAACUUUCUCUUUUGGACUUUUUUUUUUUUUUGCUUAACAUGUGUCAUUCUUCUUACACUUAAAAUAAUGUCAUUAAUACAAAGGACCCACUAGUGUAGUGGUUUGGAGUAUUUACUCCCUCAGGCAAGGUCCUGGGUUCGAGUCCUAGCAUCCGUGUUGUGUGUGUGAGUUUAAUAUGAUAUCGCCCCUUUCAAUAGGAAAGGACCUCAAAAAAAAAAAAUAAUAAUGUCAUUAAUAUAUUAUACAAGUUAACUUUGGUUUGCCAACUUUACUCUUAUUAAAUGUAUUCAAUUUAUUCAAAAAACUUUCACAACUUUCUUACCAUUAUUUUUUUUUAACGUCAAUUAUUUUUUUCAAAAAAAUAUCUAAUUUUUUCAAAAAAGAGGAAAUAUCUGUUUUUUUUUUUAAUAAUAAAAAUAUCUAAACCCUUUGUGUUUAAAAAUAAAAAUUUAAAAAAAAAAACUAGACAUUUCCUCUUAAAAGCAUAUAUUUUCUUUAAAAAAAUAAUUGACGUUAGAAAAAAAUUAAUAAGAUGGUAAGAAAGUUCAAAAAAAAAUUUGGAUAAAUUGAAUACAUUUAAUAAGGGUAAACUUGGAAAGCAAAAGUUAGCUUGUAUAAUAUAUUAAUGACAUUGUUUUAAGUGUAAGGAGAAUGACACAUGUCAAGCAAAGAAGAGAGAAGGUCCAAAGGAGAAGGUUAGAGAGAAGGUUGCUAGCAUUCCCCUAUAGCUAAUGGCUCCAACUAUAUUAGCCUAGUUAUGGAGGUCGGUUUGUCUUUCUGUACAAAUAAUACAUGUUUUGAGAAUUUUGAUAGUGUAGGCGUAGAGCCUUUUUCUUAUCCGGAUGUCGCAAUAUCCUUAAAAUAUAUUCUAUCUACACAAGUUCAAUAUAUAAAAAAAUUUAUAAAAACUUACAUUUUCUUCGAAGUGUUUAGAAAACUAAAUGGGGAGGUGAUAAUUGAUUCUUUUUCUCCGUAACAUAUUUCACGGAUUUAUUACUGAGAUUUGUUUUGAGUAAAUUAAAGACUUCAAUUAUAUGAAAGUAACAAGUUGAGGACUUAUGGUCAAUUUUUUUAAAGUUCGUCCAAUUUGCUAGCAAAACAUGUCACCCACACAAUUACUUGUUGUGGAUUAGUUUUUGUAUUUUUCCUUUUAAAACUUUUGAACUGUUCAAAAAUGUCACAUGUUCUUAUAAAAAGAAUAUACAUGAAAAAUUUUGAAUAGAAGUAUCACCAGCUGACGUGAUAAUACCGUACUAUUUAAUAAUUUUUACACAUUCUCUCUCUCCCCAUUCAUUUAAUGCAAAUGUUUAUAUAACAAAAAUUCCAAAAGGUAAUACUUGAGACGUUGAUAUUUAUAACAAGCUUAGCUGUCCUGCAUUUAAAAUUUCCACUGUGCUAGGAUGGCAAGUACUUGAGCUUGUUUCCAACAAAAUCAGCAAGCAUCUUUUGACAUCGAGGGUAAAGCAUCUAUAUUGUCACAUGGGUGUAGGUCCCAGUGUUAGCUAGCUAGGAAAUUAUUGUAACUAGUUACCAUUUUUUAGCAUGGCAAGUACGCAAUGAGUUUGUUUCUUGGAAAAUCAGCAAGCAAGCAAGCAGCUUUUGGAAAAUUUUGCAACCAAGGCUUUGAUUUGAUAUUUGGUCUAUGGUCUUGGUAGGUAUAAUUUCUGCGAUAUCAAAUGGUUUUCACGUUUUGCCUCCAAUUCCUACUAGUCAAAACUUGUUCAAAUAUCCAAAGGGCAUGUCACGUACAUUCCUCAAUCAGAAUUGAUUAAUUAAUUGUCAAUUGCAUGGUCAUAGUCAAUUUUUAAGUUGAUUUGUAUUGUACCCUCAGUUUUGUGGGCAAAUACUACUCAAUUAUCCAUGCUAUUUAGUGAUUUAAUUUUUUUCAUUUCCUCGUAUUUUUUGAAAUGAGAAGAAUUAUAGGAGUAUAUAACAUAGUUGAGCCAAAUUACGUGUAUUGAUUGAAUGGAUUUGUCAAUUGUGUUUGACAAAUUACAAGAUGCACGAGCAAUUAUUCUAUUUUAACAAAAGUAAAGAGGAUCCUCUUUUCAAACUCAUGCAUAUUUAUUGGCGCUUUGACAUAAUAAAAUAUUCAUAAAAAAUGAAAUACAAUAUGAAAAUACAUAAACUUUUGGAAUGGUUUCUUCAAGCACGUCGUUGUGUGAUUUUCACAGUUCUACGACAUUGCUUUCUUCCUACCACUUUAACAAGCCAAUCUGGUGUUCCAUUAGAGAGUACAAGAUAUCCCACAGAUAUUCCAAUUACCACCCUAGAUGCAUACCCCAUCAACACUAGCUUCCAAUCAAAACCAUUCUCAUGCUCCAAAUCAACCUCUUGUUGGAAUGACGAUGGCGGUGAUUGAUGUGGUGCACUGCAUGUUUUAGAAAGUGGCAAUCCACACAAUCCUGUAUUUCCACUAUAUGAAUCAUUUUCAAAUGUAUCAAAUUGCUUGCCAUGAGGUAUGGGCCCCACAAGUUGAUUUUUUGAAACAUUGAACUUCGAUAGUGACGUCAAAUUUGCCAGUUGCUCCGAAAUUUCACCAACAAGUUUGUUUGAAGACAGAUCUAACCAUUCAAGAUUGCGCAUUUCUCCAAAUGAUGGUGGAAUUGUACCUGUAAGCUCAUUAUGAGAAAAGUUAAGCCCCUUCAAUGAUUUAAGCUUACUAAUUACACUUGAAAUCUCUCCUCUGAAAGUGUUGUUUGAGAAAUCAAUAAUUGUGAAGAACGUCAGGAUCUUCUCCAUUUCAAUUUCGAAGCCUUUAAUUGUCACUACCACAGUAUCCUGAUAGUAACCCUCUCCCAUAUAUUUCAGUCCAUGUUCUUGCGAGUUUAUCACAGCCGUCAAGUGUUCAAAAUAUUUUGUUGGCAAGAGACCGCUAAACCGAUUGUUGGAGAGGUCUAUGAUAUGCAAUUUUUGGAAUGGAAACUUAGUUUUUGGAAUGCAUAUUUCACCAUAGAAUUUGUUAGACCUCAAGAUAAGAACCUGCAACUUCGGAAGAGAUUCUAGCCAAUUUGGGAAUGUGUCUUGAAUUUUGUUGUUUGCAAGGUCUAGAACUUCUAACUCUCUACAUGUGAGCAAAGUUGGCGGCAACGACCCUUCCAACUGAUUUUUAUUAAGAUCAAGAUUUCUCAAAACGUUUCCCUCAGAAAAUGUGUCUGGAAUCAUGCCAUAAAAUUUAUUAUUCCGUAGAUUCAAAACAGAGAGUCUCUGACUGAAAUUCCCUAUGCAUUGAUGAAUUUUGCCACUCAAUUUAUUAUUAGACAAAUCAAGGAUUUGAAGGCUACUCAGGCUGCAGAUCGUUGGAGGUAUCUCUCCAGUGAAUUGAUUGUUUGAUAUGAAAAAGUAAUAUGUGGAAGGUGAUGGAAUUGGAAGCUCUCCUUGGAGAGAAUUGUUGCGAAGGUCAAGAUACUGGAGAUUUUUCCACCGAAGCGGUCCUACAGUGCCAGUCAAAGAGUUGUGAGAAAGAUCCAAAUAACUCAAUGAAUCUUUCCACAAAUCCAAUAACCAUUUGGGAAUGUUGGCUUGGAUUCGGUUGUGGGAAAGGGAUAACGUGUCCAACUUUGGUGCGGCCCUUAGAAAGUAUGGGAACUCACUUAUGUUGCAAGACGACAAAUCUAGUAACUCAAGUUGAGGCAAGGUGUUGUUUCUCAAAUGGUUGAAGCUCAAGGAUAAAUGAUUAAAGGAAAGAUUAAGAAUUUGGAGUUUGGAAAACUUUUCAAACUCCACAGUGCCACUCAAGUUAUUGGAUGAUAGAUCAAGCCAUCUAAGGUUCUCAAGUUCAAAGAUUGAUCUUGGAAUCAGGCCAUCCAGCUUGUUAUCAUUUAAAAGAAGCCCUGACAAAGAACGAGAUUGGAACUCAAUGAUAUUACCGCUGAGUUGGUUACUUCUAAGGUUUAACCACUCCAAUGAUGGCAAACUACCUAACCAAGAUGGUAUUGUUCCGUUGAGUUGGUUCUCAUAUAAAUAGAGCUCGGUUAAGUGUCGAGGAAUAGGACCCACCAGUUGUUGUUUUGAAAAAUCAUAUAAAGAAGAGUUCGAUGUCGAGUUGCUAUACACUUCUGGAAACUGACCGACAUAGUUAUUGCCACCGAGAUUUAAGGAAACAAGGCUCUCAAGGUUUAAAAAGAACGACCAUGGGAUUUGGCCACCAAAACUGUUAGACGAGAGGUCCAACCGCAUGAUUUGUGUGAGGUUACCAAGAAAUGCAAGAUAUGAUCCUACAAAACUGCAAUUGCUGAGAGACAAAUCUCUCAAAGACUUGAAAUUUCUUGUCAGAUGAUGCCAAUCUACUGAGAUUCUUGUACGAGAGAGAUCCAGCAUCUCAAGGGGACUGCUCCAGUUAGACUCGGGGAAAUAACCUGUGAGGUUAUAGUUGUGGCCUAAAUCUAGGAGUCGAAGAUUUGGUCGUUGGAAAAUGCUUUCUGGGAAUUUUCCUUGCAAGUUGCACCAGGGAAGUUCAAGAAUUUCCAAAGAAGAAGACAGAUUUUUGAAAGAAUCAGGUAUAACUGAUGACAUAUCAACAGAGGCCAAAUUAAGCUCCCGAAGAUUGGUCAGGUUUUGAACAAUUCUGUUAAAGCUAAGAGUAUCAACAUGUGUCACAACAAGAUAUGAAGAUUGCGAGAGAUUGAGUGAAACCAAGGUGGAAAGGUGGGAAAUUUCGGAAGGUAUUGGGCCACUGAAAUUGGAGUAAGAGAGGUCAAGGUGAGUCAUACUUACAAAGCCACCAAAUUUGGACGAAAUUGGGGAACCUCUGAAAUCAUUAGAAGAGAGGUCUAGCCUCUUGAGAUGGCCGAGAGAGAAUAAGCUGCUAUUGGAAUGGAUAUUGCCUUGAAGCCCACUGAAAUGAAGGUUGAGACUGAUCACACGACUAGUCAUCUUUUCACAAGUGACUCCACUCCAUGUGCAACAAUCCUUGCCUUUCUGCCAAGAAAUUGUACUAUUAGAAUAAAGAGUUGUUCCAUUAUAUAAUUCACGUUUAGAAGAGGUAUCAAUAGAAAAGGAGUUUUUGAAUUGAAGCAAAGCGGAGCUGUCUUCAGGAUGGCAUAAAUGCCCUGAAGAAAGAGAAGAGGAAGAGUUAGCUGAUGAACAAGUAGAGUUGAAUUGACAAGUAGUAGAGAGCAGGAAGAGGAGGCAGAACCAUGACAACCAACCCAUCUUUCUUUAAAAAUCUAAAGUAUAUAGUUAUUGUGAGCAAUUCUAUACUGGAUAUGUUGAUAUUUAUAACAAGCUUAAUGAAUAGUAAUUUAUCAUCUUUAAAGAUAAUCAAGUAUCAUUGUGCCCAUUGUAACGAUUGGGUGUCCUCUUCACAUAGUAGGUCCCAAUUUGAAGUGCUGAUUUCAAGCGUUGAUUUGAUAUUUGGUCUUUGGUCUUUGGUCUUGGUAGGUAUAAUUUCUGCAUGUUCAAAUGGUUUUCACAUGUUACCUCCAACUUCUACUAGUCAAAAGUUGUCCAAAUAUGAUUCACAUUCUGUGUGUAGACCAAAUAUGAUUCACAUUUGCCCCUAAUUCUUCUCAUCUCUAUGCUUCUACUAACUUUGUCUCUGCCACUAAGCAUUUGCUAGGCCUUAGGCCUUUUGUCCGAAAAAGCAUUUGCAGCUUUGCCCCCUUCCUCACGCUCUCAUCUGACCCUUAAGCAUUUGAUAGGCCCUAGGCCUUUAGUCCAAUCUCUUUAUGAACUUUCAGAGCAAAUUCAUAAACAAAAAUUUCUUUUAUGAAAAUCCAUUAUCUUUCUCUAGGGCUAAAGAAAAGAAAGGAGUCAUCAACAUAAAAGUUAAAACAAUGCUUUAGAUAAAAUCUAAAUAAUAUAAUAAUUAAACCCUAUAUAAAGCUUGAAAUCAAAGGGUUUCGGGAAUGCUUGCUCUCUCUGGAUGUGGCUGAGAGAGAGAGAGAGAGAGAGAGAGAGAGAAGAUGGAGAUUAGUCCUUUAGUCCAAUCUGUGAAUGAACUUUCAGAGAAAAUUCAUAGACCAAAAGAAAAAAGGUACCAACUUUUCUUUGUAGGAAAUGAUGGAACAACUUUAACGUUAUCACUUGCACAUGAAAUGUUUAUCACUCUAGCGUGUGCAAGUACGUGAUGAGUUUGUUUCACGGAAAAUCAGCAAGCAAGCAAGCAGCUUUUGGAAAAUUUUGCAACCUGUUAUAAAACUAGAAUAAUCAGUUGAUGAGAAGUACCACUGUAAUAUUGGGAGUGGGAUUAUAUUUCUCUUUGUAGUGUUUACACUGACAGAAUUUCUCCUCAGAUAGACUCCACUCUUUCUCUUCUCUCUGACUCCCACUCUUUCUCUUUCUCUCUUCCGUUCUUUCUUUCCUCACUCUUUCUUAUCUUCUAUCUUCUCAUUUCUUUCACUUUGCAGGUUGCCUAUUUAUAUGCAGAUUGGUGCAACUCUCGUGAGUGUGCAGUAAGAAAAAGUUGCCGACAAACUCUACCCAAAGUCUCCAAAUGAAUAGUUAGUGGGCUCCACACAAAAAUUUUACAGCACAACCAAGACUUUGAUUUGAUAUUUGGUCUUUGGUCUUGGUAGUCAAAAGUUGUCUAAAUAUGAUUCACAUUUUGGGUGUAGACCAAAUAUGAUUCACAUUUGCCCUCUCCUUCACGCUGAUUCUUCUCAUCUCUCUGUGCUUCUGCUAACUUUGUCUCUGGCCCUAAGCAUUCGGCAGGCCUUAGGCCUUUUGUCCAAUCUAUGAAUCAACUUUCACAGCAAAUUGAUACAGGUAAAAAAAUAAAAAAUAAAAAGCAUUUGCAGCUUUGCAUUCUCAUUUAGGAUCACCUAUAGAACUAUAUAGAAAUUAUAGCUAGUACAUAUGUCAAUUGAAAAUGGUUUUGAGAUUAAUUAGAAGUGCAUGCUCUUCAUAUGUCUUUUGUUUGGCCUGGUUUCCUUCUCAGCCUCUGAUGUUUUCUUUGGCUUCUUCGUCGUUUUUUCGUACAAGUUUGGAUAAAGAGAAAAAAUUGUUUGGAUUUUGAAGAGGUAUCAAAACUUUCGUUGUUUGUUUUGUUGCUCUUUCUUUUCCUUUUGGGUUGGUUGAGCGUUCUUUUGUUUUUGGCUCAGCAAUUUUACUCACUCCCUAUCUUCUUCAUAUUAAUAAAUUGACCACCAUAUUCUGUCAAUCUACUUUCUGAGGGCCCGUUUGGUACUCAAAACCUUUGAUUAUUUUAAAAAACAAGGAGUUCUCAAAUCCAUUUUUUAAGAUUCAAAAACCUAUUUGAUAUGCAACUUGAAAACAGUUUUUUAAUUUUUAAAAUUUGGAAACUUGUUUGGUUGAAUUCUUGAAAGCAACUUUUUUUUUCUAAUAGCUUAGGUAUUGAUAAACAUUAUUGAAAUUAUACUAAACAUACUGAUUUUAAUACCAUACAUAAAUAAUGAUCGUCAAACUCAAUUGAUCUUCAAGUCGUAAAUAAUACAUAUUAAAUUAAAUUAUUCUAGACCAAAUAAAUUCUAAGAUAAGACUAAUGAUAUUGCUCCGGCUAUCUAAUCUCUAGCAUCACUAAUUUCAUUAGCAUUGUCCUCACUCAUGCAAAUGGGUGUGUUCCCUGCUUGAUUUGCGCAAGAGCUUUCUUCAUCUACCACAUCAAGAUCAUGCAAAUUGUGUAAAAUUCCAUUAGGGCCCCAAUAAUGUCACUUCAGACAACAUCAUAUUUGUAUAUAACCAAAUUGCAAAAUUGGAAUGAGAAUAAAUCUUCACAAGUCUCUAACUAAAAUAGCAGAUAAAGAAUUCCAUGAUAUAGCUGAGAUACAAAAUUGCUACCACGCACAACACAAUCCAUGAAUAAAGAAUUCCAUGAUAAGGUAUGCACUGUCAUAUUUCCUUCUUAGACUCUGUCAAAUCUAACAAGCCUUUUUAGAACAUAAUCUACAUGGAACCCAAUUUGGGCAAGCUCAUGACAACUCUAUUCAAAGCUUGAUUUUUCAUAACAGUAGAACAACUUACUAUUCAAUAUGGUUCACUAGCCAUAUGCUUGACAAUACCAGGAAAAUCCAAACUAUGGCCACACAAAUAUGAAGAAACAAUAAAACUGGCUAUAUAUAACUUAGAGAGAGAGAGAUACCUCUGUAAUGCUCAACCAGUCCAAAACCAAACUCACAAAAUUCCAUAACCAAAGGGCACCCUACGGCUAAACAUUGACAUUUGAUACCUCUAGAAUGUGUCUAUUAAAUUGAUCAAAAUGAAAACUUGAGUAGAAAACUUCUUCUGUAACAAUUCCUACUAGUUUGAACAAAUGUCUAAGAAAAAACUUGUGUACAAAAUACAUGAUAUUUACUGUCACAUACUGAACAAGCUCUUAUCAAAACUUGUCAAGUUAAGUGAAACGAUCAAUCACAAUAAAUUGAGUUAAUUUUGACUGCAGAGCUCAUACUAAUGGCAAGCUGAUGUGCAAAAGACUACAUAUUCAAGAAUUCUUUUUAAAUAGAAUAUAGAAGUUGAUUAACAUAUUAAGACUUCUUUUUUGGACCAAUACAUGAAAAAAAUUGCAGAGAAGCAUCAAAUGAACAAUUCAACAUAAGCAGGAUCUCAGAAAUUAUAAGUAACCCAUAUGAAUAGCAUCACUGAGCAAAUAUCAUUCAGACUUCUGAGUACUAGAGACUUCAAAUGAGAUAAUAAAAGCAAAAAACAAAAACAACUGAAAAAUUUCAAACCAAAGAAUUCUAUAACCAGAAUAGGAAACACAACGGACCCAUAAUGUCAAAAUCUAAAAGCAUUUCAUCACUUUUUAUGAAAAAAUAAUCAAUCAGGUUACACACAAGAAUUCAUAUAAAUAAAAUCAAAUUAGAUAUAAAUAAGCUAUAAAUCAAAUCUUCAGUAACAAGGACAAAAAGGGAACUAAAAAUUACCCGACUGUAGAGAUCGGAGAUGAGCAACUCCAGCUCACGACAAGCCAAUGGUGCGCGCCUGUUCGGUGGCGUGUGACGCCGAGACUUCAACUGACAGAAUCGCAGAGACGGGAGGAGGCGGCGAGGGCAGUGCUCAGAUGCCCAGCCCUAAAAGUAACUGAUGAGAGAGAGGGAUCUCUUUUUCAAUUUUAUAAUAAAAGCAACUAAUAACAUUUAAAGAAUAAAAUUGAGAUUUUUAUUGUUAUUAGUUGCUUUUAUUAUAAAAUUUAAAGAAUAAUAUGUUAUAAAUCUAGUAAGAAAUUGGAGAGAGGGAAUUGGGAAAUUGAAGGGAGAGAAUUGAGAUAUCAAAGUAGAGAAACUAAUCUCAUUGUGUUUCUGUUCUCUAAUCUGAUCUUUGUCUGUGUAUAUUACAAGUAGGGGGAUGCCUUACUUAUAGGCAAGCAUCUCCUAAAUGGAGGUGGGCUCCACUAUAAUUAUUUUACAACACUCCCCCUUGGAGACCACAAACGAUACAGAAUAUGUCUCGUUAAAAACCUUGCCAGUAAAAACCCAGUGGGACAAAAACUGGUCAAAGAGAAAAAGAGUACAUAAUCAUGUGUAACAUAAAAAUUCUAUGUACAUUGACGCGCGUGCGACACUGCCUCGUUAAAACCUUGCCAGGAAAAACCCAGUGGGAUAAAAACCUGGACGAAGGAAAAAGAGUACAGUGUUUGAAGAUCUUUAUUGAUAGCGCUCCCCCUGAUGCUUGGCAAAAAUAUCUUUAAGUCAUACUGUUGAUCAGCUUUCUGAAUAUCGUAGUUGACACUGAUUCUGUGAGUCAAUCUUGAGCGACACUGCCUCGUUAAAACCUUACCAGGAAAAACCCAGUGGGAUAAAAACCUGGAUGAAGGAAAAAGAGUACAGUGUAUGAAGGUCUUUAUUAAAACCAUGCUCCCUCUGAUGAAUAUCUCCCCCUGAAAAAUUUAGGACUAGCUUUUGUCCAGUAAGCGACCAUAAAAAUUUUCAUAGUAUACCCUAAACCCUUGAGCGACACUGCCUCGUUAAAACCUUACCAGGAAAAACCCAAUGGGAUAAAAACCUGGAUGAAGGAAAAAGAGUACAGUGUGGAGCUGAGCUCUAUCUGGUCUAGUAUACUUCCGAAAAAACAUUUAAGGACCAACGGAUAAGACUCUCUUAGUAUAAGCAAGAAUCUCGUUGGUAUAAUGCUCGAUCGAGACAAAUAUUUUAUGAAUUCUGCAGAAGCGUUAAUAUGUUGCAAUCACAUUAUAAUCAAUGUACUCAUUGAAGUAAUUUAUGCAUAUUAAUAUUGAGUACAAAUUUUGUGCUUCAAGCACAUGUCCUUUAGGGACUUGCUUUAUGCAAUGUCAAUCCUCUCAACGGAUUUUGUCUAAAAGGGAUUAAACUUUAUGACACAUUAUAUAACUUGAACCCAGCUAUUUAUACAUCUUUAGGGAAUCGCUUCUGGCGAUAUGCUCCGUGCAUUUAAUAACCCUUAAAGAUAAUAUGUUGGUCUCCGUAAUUGUGUAAUAAGGGGGAGGCACAAUUGAAUCUGUAAAUAUGGAGAAAACCCAACAUUCCUUGUUUCUGCUAGAAACAGUGUGUCAUACAAAGUAGGUAUAUUCCCUUUUAUUCCGAACACCCAAGUAUAAAUUCAGUAUUAACAAAUUUUGGGGUUCGUAUUGUGGGUUUGUUCUUUCACGUUCAUUCUCAUUUAUAAUGGAAUUACCUCGUUCCAUUUUGGCCAAUGAUAUUGUCGACAUUUAAUAAUUGAACGUGGUUCCAAUCAACACAGCCCUUUGAUGAUUUGAGUAGCUACUCCAAAACCAAAAAUUGUCAUUCAUCAAUUCAUAAUCUCACAAUUCUCAUGUGCAUGCGCAUGCAUCAAUUAUAAGCAUUCCUUUGCUUUUGGGUACCCAAACCACUUCAUGGGGCUUUUAUUAUGUGAGAAUGUGGAUUAUAACCUCCAAUGGAGCGUUAUUUUACAGUAGGGCGUGGAUAAUCUCUAUUUAGAGAGUUGAAACAUUUAGAACCCAUAUAUCUGUCAUGCUGCAGGCAUGCCACAGAUUAAUACAUACAUGUCAAUUAAUUUCUGGGACUUUAACCCAUAUAAUUUGCUACGCAUUAGGCGUGCAUAAUAUCAAUAUUGACAUGUCAAAGGAUUGUUCUUUCGGGACUUCAAUCCAUAUCAUUUGCUACGCAACAGGCGUGCACCCAUAUAUCUGUCAUGCUGCAGGUAUGCCACAGAUUAAUACAUACAUGUCAAUGAAAUUUCUGGGACUUUAACCCAUAUUAUGGGACUUUAACCCAUAUAAUUUGCUACGCAUUAGGCGUGCAUAAUAUCAAUAUUGACAUGUCAAAGGAUUGUCCUUUCGGGACUUCAAUCCAUAUCAUUUGCUACGCAAUAGGCGUGCAUCAUAUUGAUCACUGCUAUACCCAUAUUCUGUUCUUAUGGUACAUUAAUCUGUGCAGUGUAUUAUCAAUGUAUCCAACUUGCAAUCUGUAAAAUUUGCGUUAAUAAUUCAUGGAUACAUACAAGCCAUUCUUUUGGAACGGACUUAUCUUCCCAUUUGGUUACCUUUCAAGAUAAAAUAUCAAAUAAGUAUAUAAGCAUAAAAUAACACAAGUAUUGCUUACAUCCUUAGGUGGGAGAAACUUUUCUCAAGUAUCAUUCAAGCUUGUAUCAGCCCAGUAAAUGUAGCGCUUGAUGAUCUAGUUAUAUCCUGCAAUAGUAAAAUCACAACUCUUUUCUCUGUCAAAAACAAAUAAUCCUCAGAGAGGUACAGGAAGAGAAAAAAAAAUGCAAAAAGAGAAGGUAAGCAAUCAGGGAAGGAAGCUGGUGGAAGCAGACAAUAAGCUCUCAUAUCUCCUAGUCUAGAAGUUCUUCCGGAGAUUAGAGCAUAAUAUCGCCUUCACAGUUUCCUGAUGUAGCGGAAACGUGAUCAGGGAUAGUCUCGCUUCCUGAAUGGAUGAUCAGAGAUAGUCUUGCUUCUCGGGCAUAUUAAGUGCUCACUGAUAAGAAAAACAAGUAGAUAUCGCAUCACUAGGUAUGGAGAAAACUGGAUGUCUUCUGCAAAGAAUAUUUCGUUAGUAACACAUUUAUACACAAAUACAAUGAAUAGGUAGAACCAGUGAAUUUCAAAUUAACCAUAAGAAAAUUGCGAGAUUCUCGGGGUACUUUUGAAAAAGUAGCUCCGUGAAAUCCGUAAAGCAGGAUCGGCUUUUGAUGAAAAUAAAACUUUGAAAACGCCGAAAGUGCCGACAAACAUUUAAUGGAGGCCACGUGAAGUUUUGAAAUCUGGGAAAGAAAAAGAUAAUAUGGGGAUCUGAGAUAAUAUUGGGAUCCUGGAAACUGUAGCCAUAUUUCCUCCUAUAGAUAUGGCCUUUUGCAAAACUUGAUUGGAGCAACUGCGUUUCAACUUGCUCCUUUCCUGUUAUAAUAAUUGCGCACAUUCUUAAAAUUUGCACCUGUGAUUUUUACGUCUUUUCAAAAUGACGGUUUGGAACUUUGUGUCUUAUAGGUUCAAAUAACCACAUCGACUCUCCCAAAUUCCAUAUUUCAACGUAUGGGAGUCCGGAACUUUUGGCCUGGGCUAAACACAAACUCAGAAUUUAUUUGCCCUUUUCAAAAUGGACAUGAAAUAUGAAUUGAGUAAAAGCCACGCUAAUAUCUCAUAUUUGGGUUCAUGAGCUUCCGGCCCAGAUAUAACAAAAUAUGUGGGGAGCCUCAAUUCAUCAUUCUCUUAUGCCAAAGAGAUAUGUGGUGUACCACAAUUUGCAAUAAUACCUCAAGGGUUGUCCAUUUAAUUGUUGGAACUUCAGGUUCUCAACACUGUUAGAUUUUGAACUUCUGGCCAAAAUCACAUAUUCUCAUGGUAUGGACAUUUAAUCCCCUUAGAUUUUGAACUUCGGGCCAAAAUCAUAUAUUCUCAUGGUAUGGACAUUUUUGCAAUUUUCUGUACAUAUUUCUGGACUUCAAGCCCUUACAUAAUUGUCCAUAUUUUGAGGAACUUCUGGCAUCUCAUUUAAUUGCUCAUCCAUGAGUUUAAGGAACUGCAGGUUCCAGUACAUUUGCCAGUACAGUUAUCAUCCAUGUGUACGGCAUUAUGAACCAAUACGGUACUGUUACAUCAUUAAGGAACCCCAGGUCCUUAUUUACAUGUCAGGGAUCAAGGACCCUCAAGUCCGAUCACAUGUUUACAAAUAUAGUACCAGAGAGACUGCCAGCUCUCAUAUUAACAUCAUCAUCAAGGAUCUUCAAGUCCUGAUGUAAUUGUAUGAUGAGGAUCAAGGAACUUCUGGUCCUGAUCUAUAUACUGUAAAAAAACUCAUCAUACAGCACAUUUAGUCCAUAAAAUAAAUUGCUGGUAAAUAAAUUACUGGUAUGGACGAUAAACCCGCACCAUACAUUUAAAUAAAAGUAAAGGCGUGGACGAUAAACCCGCACCACCCUUUUAAAUAAAUGUAAAUGUGCGGUAAAUUAAAUUCAUAAAUUAAAUUGCUUGCUGUAUGGACGUUAAUCCCGCACCAUACUUUAAAUAAAAUUAAAUGUGCGGUAUAGUAAACGUGCUUGUAUGGGCACUAAUUCUGCUCCAUACAUUUAAAUAAAAGCAAAGGUGUGGACGAUAAACCCGCACCACCCUUUAAAUAAAUAUUGCCGUAUGGGUAAUAAACCUACACCAUACCAUAAAUAAAAUAGAUAAGCAAAGGCGUGGACGAUAAACCCGCACCACCCUUUAAAUAAAUAUUGCCGUAUGGGUAAUAAACCUACACCAUACCAUAAAUAAAAUAGAUAAGCAAAGGCGUGGACGAUAAACCCGCACCACCCUUUAAAUAAAUGUAAAUGUGCGGUAAAUUAAAUUCGUAAAGUAAACGUGCUUGUAUGGGCACUAAUUCUGCUCCAUACAUUUAAAUAAAAGCAAAGGCGUGGGCGAUAAAUCCGCACCACCCUUUUAAAUAAAUACUGUUGUAUGAGUAAUAAACCUACACCAUACAGUAAAUAAAAUAAAUGUGCGGUAAAGUAAAUUUCAUAAAGUAAAGUGUUAGUAUUAGUAACGGUCUCCCACUGAUAAUAUGUUUAGUAUUACCAAGGUUCCAUUUUUGUUAAUGGUUAGUAAAAGAAAAGCAGAUAAAUAUAAUAGGAAAUAAUAGAGAAGAUAAGGGAGCAGAAAUCUUAUUGCUUAUGCCCUUGCUGAGUGAUCC